CCAAACUGAAUAUUCAUUGUUAAAAACAGACUUGUUUAGAUGACACUGUCAUACAGCAUCCAUGAGCAUGCACAAAAUUAAACCUGACAUACUUAACAUUGACAUGUUCAUAUUACACUAACAGGCUUAAACCUAACAUGCUGAACACCUUCUUAACACCUUCACUCCUCCUUCUUCUCCUUCAUCAACCUGAUGCGCUCAGAGUGGCGAAUCCCAAUGCGGAUGUACUCCUCUACCACAAUUGGCAUGGUCCUGUCGCCAAACUGUGGGAUUGUUGGCGCCGCCACCAUCGCGAGGUCGUCGUCCGCCACCACCAUCGCGAGGUCGUCGUCCGCCACCACCAUAGCAAGGUCGUCGUCCGCCACCACCAUAGCAAGGUCGUCAUCCGCCACCAACAUAGCAGGGUCGUCGUCAGCCACCACCAUAGCAUGUUCGUCGUCAGCCAGAAUAGGCUGCUCCUCGUCAUCCCCGCUCUGCUCCUCGUCGUCAUCCCCGCUCUGCUCCUCGUCAUCCCCGCUGCUACUCCCAUUGCCUGGCCAAAUGCAAGAAAGUGUGAACAUGGUGUUGUCAUCGUGCAGGUAGAGGAAGCCAAAAGGACAGGAAGAAGAGAGGUAGAGAGCUUACUGGCAUCGACGUCGUGCUGGUAGUACAUGCGGCACAUGGUGUUGUCGAACAUCUUCACGGUGAACCUGGCGUCGCCGUCGUAGCAGAAGACAAGGAAGUACUCGAGCUGUAGCUCAUGGGCGCGGGCGAAAUGCUCCCAGUCGGUCCCUAGGUACAUGUGGCCUUCACCAUCAAACACCACCAACAGUUUCCAUAGCCUGUGAAGCCCGCUGUCGGCCUCCCGCAGCUUCACUUUGUGGGGCUCACGGCCCGCGAGCAUCUUCGCAAACUUGUCAGGCAGCCUCUGCAGCGAGGGUCAAUCAGUAGUUAAUUGUGGGAAUCAAGCACUAGACAGCAGAGUGAUGAUAAAGAAAUGAGUGAUGAUAAAUAUACCUGCCUACUGCAAGAUUUCUCAAUUAUGAUCUCAAAGAACUCAAAACCUUCCAAGCCAGCCAUCUCACUUCUACUCUAAGCAAGCAAUAGGAAACAAGCAAUAGUAAAUUAAACAACAUGACUGGACAGAAAUAGGAAACAAGCAGCAUUGUAAAUCAAAACAGUAGAAUAAUUACUACAUGUGUUUGCCAGGGCCUCAAUUUGGAAUACUACUAUAAAUGGCAAUGGCCUCAAUUUGCUCCUACUCUAUCUUGGCAAAGGGGCAAUGAGUAGAAGAAGAAUGUAAUGUUUCCAUACUUGAGCAUGUUCAGUUUAAAAGAAUAUAAACAAGCAAGUAUGCAUGCAUGCAUAUCAAAUGUUGGCAUCUACUGCUGCUACUACUCUGCCCAUAUUCAUGCAGGUCACUACACCUGCAUAUGCAUGAAUCCCACUGCAGCACAAGACUUGUCAACAAGAAUAACCACAACAGCACGUUCAACCAUAGAAUUCAACAGCAACAGAAUUCAACAGCAUGUUCUGGCAACAGUAACAGCAUGUUCACCAUAGAAUUCAACAGCAACAGAAUUCGGUUAAUUCAGUUAAUUAACCACAUAAUUCAACAGCAACAGAAUAGCAUGUCUACCACACUACCUACCACAGCAACAGUUAAUUGCUAUCAGGUGACUACCAACAGCAACAACAUAGUAAUCAAACAGCAAUUCAACCACACUAGAUCCACCAACAGAGCAUACUAAAUCCACCAUGAACAAUAUGCCUAAAUCCACCAAUAGAUGCCUAGUAUGCAUAACAAAUCCUAGAUUCUCAAACCCUAGAGCAGAAGAGAAAGGAGAGAGGAUAUGAAGCGGAUGGCUUAUCGCGGCGGAGUCCGAGAAGAAGUGGUCGCCGGUGGCGUAGGGCAAGCUGUGCGGGAGGCGUCGGACCAGUAGAGGCGCCGGGGAGGCGUCGCCGUCACCCUAAAAAACAUCCUAAUCAAACCCUAAUCAGGCGGCAAGAACCCUAAUCUAUCAUAAUAGUAGAUAGGAAGAGGAAGAGGAAGCGGAUUCAUACCCACGGUGACGGAGAGUCGGCGACGGAGAGAAAGAAGCUGGCGGCAGAGGUGGGAGAGGAAGAAGCCGGUGGCGGCGGAGAGGAGGAGCGGGUCGAGUGGAUAGGAGGAGUGGAGAGGGGGAGUGGGGAAAAGAGUGGAUAGGAGGAGGAGCGGGCCCAAUUGUCAGCGAGUUGUUUGAUACAUUGAAAAGGGUGGGCAUAGAGUACAAAACCAACAACCUCUUCCUAGCCCAGUGGUAGAAACCAAGUGAACUAAGCGCACGGUCGUGGGUUCGAGCCCCGGCGCGCGCAUAUUUUUUGGCCACACGCAUAUUUUUGGUAGCUUUGGUACAAUAGCAAAAUGGCCCACUUGUUAGUGAGUGGGUCGAGUGGCCCACUUGUCAGUGAGGUGUGUGCUUGAUACUUGACUAGUUUGAUAUAGUCAAAAGGGUUGGCAUAGAGUACAAAACCAACAGCCUCUUCCUAGCCCAGUGGUAGAAACAUAGUGAAACAAGCGUAUGGUCGUGGGUUCGAGUCCCCGCUGGCACAUAUCUUUUUGCUCACAAUGAAAUGGGUUCAGUUGAAGCAAAAUUCAGUUACAAUUCAGUUGAAGGAAAACCAGACAUCAUCCACUUCAGUUCAAAAAAACUACUACAUGAUCACAAAAACUACUAGACAACAUUCUGUAUGAUCACCAAAACUUGAACUAAAUGAUCACCAAUAUCUAAAUGAUCAUUUUGCAAUCUUUUGCAUUACAGGACAACAUUUUGACAACAUUCUGAGCACAACUUCAUUUUGCCAUCAGCUCCAUGCUAUAAGACCACACCACUACAGCCAUCAGGAUCUUCAAGCAUUUUGCUACCUGGAGAUAAUUGUAGUACAUCAGGAUCACCAUGCAUAUGCAUAAGAAGGAAAACUACAGAGAGUUAAAAGGAUCACCAAGGAGACCAAAUUUACGUUCAUGUACAUUCGCUACUCAUCGUCGUCGAUAUGAAAACAAGGAACUCUAUGCCCACUCCUGUUUUCCUCAUCAUCACUACAAUAUUGCAGCAUAGUAUGAUCAGUCCGGUUUUCCUCAUCCUCGCUUUCAUGUCCAUCCUCUACCACCUUUCUUCUUUUCUUGAUGCCUUCAACUGUUGCAGCACCAAUGAUCACACGUUCCCGGUCCCUUCGCACUCUGCUUUGCACCGGAACUUCCAUAGAGUCAUCAUCAGCUUGCAACGGAACUUCCGUAGAGUCAUCAUCUUGGUAUGUUAGUCCACCAUCACUGGGGCCCUUUUCCACUUCAGUUUCAGUCACACUCCACAAGUGUCUGUGCUGAAAGUUUUACACAACUCGCCAUUUUCCGUGCAAAAGAGUGUUUGGCAGAUAAAACACCAUUGUUGCUUGUGUUGUUAGAAUAAAGGGAUCACUCUUAUACCAGCACCUUGCAGUGUUGAUGCUUUUGAAGUGGCCAUCAUAUUUGACAAAAGAGUCUCUCCUCUUCUUGCUACCAAGCUCAAACCAGUCACAGCGAAAUAAGACAACCGAGCGAUGGAUGCCUCCACUAGAGUUGUACUGCAACUCUAGAUGCUUCUCAACUGACCAUAGAAGUCAAUGAUCUCACCAUCAUGUGACCCCUCAGUGACGAUUCCACUAUUCUGUGUCUUCCUUUUUUCCUCGCGGUCAACGGUGUGGUACCGGACACCGUCAGCAAUGCAUGCUGAAUACACUCUCACUCGCUUAUCCGGUAAGCAUGCCAAAGCAAAUAGAUCAUCACUGACCUUCUUCUCCUCAUGCAACUUUCCAAUCUGCACAAAUAAACCAUUUAGCAAACAAUGGUAUUUAACAAUGGGUGAAUAACACAGAAAACAUAAAACAUGUGGCUAAAGAUCUCACAUGAUUCUUAAACCACUUAGCAAACACCUUGGCAACCCUUUUAUCAACAUUGAUAUUGCUUUCUUCCUGAUUUAACUCUUCCUUGCAUUUCCUACAAUGCCAACAAAACAUGUGAAUUAAAACAUUAGGCUCGUGCCAACCCAAGCAAAGUAUAUAUAUAUAUAUAUAUAUAUAUAUAUAUAUAUAUAUAUAUAAUGAGUGCACAAGAUAUAACGUACUCGAUAUAUGGUAGAACCUCGGCGCAAUUGCUGAGCACAAACAAAACCAUCUUGUCAUACUCAUCACCAGCCUCCAAGUAUUUUGAGGCUCUAAGAAAGUUCACACCAUGGUUGAAAACAGAGACAUCACCACUUUGCGAAUCAGACCGCUCUCUAUUUCUGCCCAGCCGGUUCCAUCUUGUUUCCACAUCACCAAAGUAUCUAGAGCAAAAAGUCAAGCACUCGUCAACGACAUAUGCUUCAGCAAUAGAACCUUAAGGUCUUGCCGUGUUUCACACAUAACGCUUACAAGUAAGCAGCCUUCUUUCGAUUGGGUACAUCCAACCAUAUUGCACAGGGCCUCUAAGCAUUGCCUCUUUGGGUAAGUGCACCGCCAAAUGGACCAUCACGGUGAAGAAAGCUGGAGGGAAAAUCUUCUCGAGCUUGCAAAUAAUAAUUGGGAUUUCUCUUUCAAGUCUUUCCAAGACAGUUAACUUGAGGGUUUUGCAACACAGUUCUCUAAAGAAAUUUCGCAGCUCAGCAACCGCUUCAUAUAUAUCCUUGUGCAUGAUUUCUCAGAGGCCCGCCGGUAAAAUCCUUUGGAGGAGGAUGUGACAAUCAUGGGUUUUCAGUACUGAAAGCUUGAAUCCAUCAGAAGUAACACACUUUGCUAGGUUAGCAGCAUAACCAUCUGGAAAUUUCACCGCUCUUAGGAAUUCACAGAAUGCAAGCUUUUGUUCUUUAUUCAUUGUAUACCAUGCUCGUGGAAUUUCAAAUGAAUCUUCAUCUUCAUUGUGUUGUAGAUGCAAAUCUUCUCUUAUGCCCAUGUCCUCCAAAUCAAGCCUAGAACUAACCGUGUCCUUUGUCUUCCCUUCAAUGUUCAGAAACGUCCCUAGCAGAUUCUCGCAUAUGUUUUUCUCAAUGUGCAUUACAUCGAGAUUAUGCCUUAAUUUCAUAUCAGCCCAGUACGGCAGGUCCCACAAACAAGACCUCCGGUCCCAACAUUGACCUUCCUCACGCUUUCUUUUCUUCGCCAGCUUUCCUGGUCUCACAUCUUUCACCUUUUCAAGUUGCUGCUCCAGCUCUUCUUUAGUGAAUUCUGCUAGCCUGUCACGGGUUUCAUUCUCACCAUUAAAAUCUUUGCUUCUUCGCCAGCGAUGGUUUCGGGGAAGAAAGCGGCGGUGCCCAAUAUAGCAUAUCUUGCUCCUUAUUCUCUUUGAGCAAGGGUCUUUGUCACAAUGGACACAAGCCUGAUAACCCGUUGUGAUCCUCCCAGACAGAGUGUGCAGAGCCGGGAAAUCAUGGAUGGACCAUAUGAUCGCAGCACGUAGAUUGAACUUUUCUUCCGGACUCAAGGCAUCGUAUGUAGGUACACCAGUCCAGAGCUGGAGCAGUUCUUCUACGAGGGGAUCCAUAAAGACAUCAAAAUCCUUUCCUGGAGAAUCUGGACCCGGGAUAAGCAAUGACAUCAUGAAGUUGGACUGAUCCAUGCAUGCCCAUGGUGGCAGGUUGUACGGCACCACAAAAACUGGCCACAUGCUAUAAGACGUGCUCAUGUGCCCAAACGGAUUAAACCCAUCUGUAGCAAUGCCAAGUUUUAUGUUCCUUGGAUCUGCAGCAAAAUCAAAAUGUAUACAGUCAAACUCUUUCCAUGCCUCUCCAUCCGCUGGAUGGCUCAGCUCAUUGUCCACAGGUUGCCACUUCAGCUUGUGCCACUGUACCUCACGCGAUGAUUUCUUUGAGAUGAACAUCCGUUGUAGCCUUGGUAUCAAGGGAAAGUGCCUCAGUACCUUCUCCGGUAUUGACUUCUUCCCAUCAGCAUCUUUCCACCUAGAUGCAUUGCAUUUUGGACAGUUGUCAUGCUUUGCUAAAUCCUUUCGAAACAAGACACAGUUAUUUGGGCACACAUGUAUUGACACAUAACCUAACCCCAGCCUGCGGAUUAUGCUCAAUGCUUCAUCAUAAGAUCUGGGAACACAACUAUUAGGGAAUUGCAAGCUCAAAAGACAGAGUAUUGCGUUGAAUGCGGCAUUGCUAAUCCGGUAGAAAGACUUGAUGUGGAGUAACUUCAUGGUGAAGGUAAAUCUUGAAAAUUUACCCCCUUCAUGAGCUGCGCGCUUCGCCUCCAUGAACACCUCAGCAAACAACGACUUCUGUCCAUCAGCACGAUCUUCAGCAUCGUACAAAUCCUUCAAUAGGUCAGGAAUCCUACCAUCUUCAUGCCCAUCCUCUUCCUCCAAAACAACAUUAUCUCGCAAAACCUUUUCCAUGAAAUCAAUGCCAACAUCACCACCACCCAUCAUAUGAGGGGCCUCUGUAUCAGCUUCAAAAUGUUGAGGUUGUCUGUCUAAAGGUUCUCCAUGAUAUAUCCAUCUAUCAUAUGUGCUGGACAUCCCGUUAAGAAGCAGAUGAUCUUCCACUCUUCCUUGAGCCAUUCUUGGACGGUUGAGGCAUUCACAACAUGGGCAAAGAAAGUGAGCAUCGUUGGCAAAAUUUGCCCGAACAAAUGCCAUGAAAUCAUCAACUCCUUUCAUAUGUUCUUUCGAAAACUUUCUAACUCCUUCUCUAAUCCAGCUUCUGUCCAUCUAAGUGCAUCAACAUUAAUUAAUGAAAAUGGAUGGAAGUAAUGGAAGCUAACAUUCUAGAAAAUUUUAUAUGCUAAUUACCUAACCACAAGGCCUGAAGAAUUCUUAGCAAACAAGCUGAACAAUUCCUAACAGCACAUCAAGAAAAUUCAUCUAUGCAUUAUCUACCAAACAAGCAAGCUAUCUCCUAACUACUAAUAGUGGAUCAACAAAAUUCAUCUAUGCUGAAGAACAUCUGACUGAAAUCCAUCUCCCACUGCUCGAGUGACGAGAGAGGAGAGGGGGGAAGAAGUGAGGGGUGCAUACCGGGAGGUGUGCUUGCGGCGGCGGCGAGUUCCCCAUGCUCGGCGAGCCCCCACCACCGCCGGUCACCGCCUCCAUGCCCUGCCUCACCUCCGCCCCCUGCCGGCCCCGCCCCCGCCUCCGCUGCCGGCCCCGCCCCCGCCUUCGCCCCCUGCUGGUUGCUUCCGCCGCGAGGCCGUGGGCGAGGUCACCUGCGGCGAGGCCGUGGGCGAGGUCACCUGGUUGUUUCCGCCGCCGCCCGCCGCCACCUGGUCGGAAGACCUAGAAAAACGCUAAGUGUUGCUCUGUUCGAUGCCACCCGCCGCCACCUGGUCGGAAGGUCCCACUUGUCACUGGUACGUGAGAGCCGUGGUUUUAUAUACUAUAUGGAAAACUACCCACACAUUAGCAACAAUCUCUCUCUAGCCCAGUGGUAAUGAACGAGCGAACCCAGCACGAGGUCGUGGGUUCGAGUCCCCGCUAGCGCAUAUUUUUUAGGGAAUUAAACGCUCGCUCAACCACCUGUCAAAUGGGUCCCGCCUGUCAGUGUUGCAAAUCGUUGCUCUGUUCGAUGCCACCUGGUCGGAAGGUCCCACCUGUCAAUGAUAAGAGAGAGUCGUAGUUCUAUAUAAUGUAUAGAUAAACUCCCAGAUGUGAGCAACUGUACCUCUCUAGCCCAGCGGUAGCAUGCGAGCCAACCAAAUGCGAGGUCGUGGGUUCGAGUCCCGCCUCAUGCAUAUUUUUUGGGCGAAUUAAGGGCUCGGCCCCAUCUGUCAAAUGGGUCCCGCCUGUCAGUGUGUCCCCCGUCUAUCUGUUGAAUAUUAAAACUCAAGCAAAAAUGACACCUAGAUAGUGACACAUAAGCAAGGUUGCUGAGGUGGCUGCCUAAUCAUCCUAAUUCAUUCAAACUCAAGUGUAGUGACCAUUUUAUAUUAGUCGUUAUCAGCAACGCAUGAGGCAGUGGACAGUGCUACUAGCUUUACGACCAUUUCCUGUAAUGAAAUUAUGACCUUUCUAACCAAAAUGGUCGUUAUGGUUUAGGGUUUAGAGCCCCCUAGACAGCUUUUGACCAAUUGGUCUAAAAUGGUCAUAAAUUUAUGACCAAUUCUUCAAGGGUCACUGACAGAAGGUCAUAAGUUGACAUAUUUCUUGUAGUGCCCAAGAUGGGAUCUCGUGGAUACAGAAAGUUACGGCGGUGGAAUUAGGGUUUUGGCUCUGUUUCUGAUCGUUUGGGGGUACAUAGGUAUAUAUAGGAGGAAGAAGUAUGUAGGUGGAGCNNNNNNNNNNNNNNNNNNNNNNNNNNNNNNNNNNNNNNNNNNNNNNNNNNNNNNNNNNNNNNNNNNNNNNNNNNNNNNNNNNNNNNNNNNNNNNNNNNNNNNNNNNNNNNNNNNNNNNNNNNNNNNNNNNNNNNNNNNNNNNNNNNNNNNNNNNNNNNNNNNNNNNNNNNNNNNNNNNNNNNNNNNNNNNNNNNNNNNNNNNNNNNNNNNNNNNNNNNNNNNNNNNNNNNNNNNNNNNNNNNNNNNNNNNNNNNNNNNNNNNNNNNNNNGUAUGGUCCAAGUCUCCUGGAUCUUGUUCGUUCCAAAAAUCACGUUCCCGAAGGUUUCAUUCCGUUUGGACUCCGUUUGAUAUUCCUUUUCUUCGAAACCCUAAAAUAGGCAAAAAAACAGCAAUUCUGGGCUGGGCCUCCGGUUAAUAGGUUAGACCCAAAAAUAAUAUAAAAGUGUAUAAUAAAGCCCAAUAAUGUCCAAAACAGUAGAUAAUAUAGCAUGGAGCAAUCAAAAAUUAUAGAUACGUUGGAGACGUAUCACCGCACGACAUCAUUCUCCGGGAAGCCAAGGUUCUCGCCAGCUGCGACAUCCCGGCAUCGCCGGACACGUGUCUGCCGGCCGGAUGGAUUGUGGGUCAGGGGGUCGUCUGGUGGUGCAUGUCCCCGCCGUCAACUCGGUCGCCUUUGCGCACGCCGUCUGCAGGUUUCUGGCAGGUUUGAUACCGGAGGAGAGGGCGCAUGCAUCCGAACUUCGAGCCUAACAGCCUAUUAUGGCCGCAGAUCCUCGACCAGGGCUGCACCGCUCGGAUCCAGCACUUCGACGACCCCAAACCAAUGUCGCACUUAAACAUCGCCUGGCGACGUGCCUUCUGCGAUGGCCUUAGCUUCAAGGUUGUCAUCGCCGCGUGCCGCUCACAGGUUGACAAAGAAGAAUAGUUUCGAAUUUGGGAGUAGGGUCGUUCCGAACUUGUCAUUUAUUCAAAUAAAAUGUAUGAAUUCGUAUGCUAAAACUAGAUUGUAUUUCUAGUUGUUUUCAUGCACUUGGAAUGACUCAUGAUUUGUAUAAAUUUUGUUUGAAUAUGUGUGCAUAUCAGAAAAUGGAUGCAAAUUUGUAUGAUUAUCCAUGCAAUUUUGACACCAAUAUGAGAAAAAUAUAGAAAAUGAAAAAAGUCUCAAAAUUUAAAAUCCUUUUGCGUGGAGUCAUUUUAUGUUCAAUGGCUUGUGGGAAAAGUGAUAAACUAACAAUAUUACAAAUAAAAAGUUGAUUUUCCAUUUUUCUAGUGCCAUACAUGACUUUUUGUGAACAAUGUGCCUUAAAUAAUAAUAAAAAUUCCACCCUUAUAAUUUUCGCCUAAAGUAUACCACAUGGGAUUCUAACUGCCAAUUUUUAAUGAAUUUCAGAGUGAUAUUGCCAUAUUUCAUUGAUUUUUGUAAUCUCUAGCGAUUUACAUCAAGUAAUUCAAAUUUGAGCUGCAAGUGUGCUCUAGUUUGGUCCUAUGAAUUCUGAAAAAUCAUUUUCCGCUUCGACAUUAGGAAUUUAGCCAAUAUCCACAAAGAAAGCUCAGAUUUCCAACCAUUUUAUAUGAUCAGUCAUCUAUGCAAUUUUGACAUCAAUGUAUGAAAAAAUAUAGAAAAUGAAAAAAGGCUCGAAACAUGAAAUACUUUUGCAUGGAGGCCUUUUAUGUUCAAUGGCAUGUGGGAAAAUGACAAACUCACAAUAUCAUAAAUAAAAAAGUUAAUUUUGCAUUUUUCUAGUUUUAUACAUGACUCUUUUUAAGCAAGUGCCAUAACUAAUAUUUUAAAUUGUGUCGUUAUAUUUUUCAUCUAAAGUAUACCACAUGUGAUUCUGACUAUCAUUUUUUCAUGAAUUUCAGAGCGAUAUUACCAUAUUUCAUUGAUUUAUUGAAUUAUGUCGAUUUACAUCAAGUAAUUUAAAUUUGAACUACAAUUGUGCUCUAGUCUGGUCCAAUAAAUUCUGAAAAAAUCAUUUUCACCUUCCCCAUUACGAAUGUAGGCAAUAUCCACAAAGAAAUCUCAAAUUCCCAACAAUUUUAUAUGAUUAGUCAUCCGUGCAAUUUUGAAAAAACUUUGAAAGAAAUUACAGAAAAUGCAAAAAGGCUCAAAAUUUGAAAUCCUUUUGAACGGAGGCCUAUUAUGUGCAAUGGCUUUUGGGAAAAAUGAUAAACUGACAAUACCAUAAACUUGAAAAAAAACUUCACAAACUAACCUAUCUCAUAUGAAGAUCAAUGACUUUCAACCAAGAUGAUCAUGCCCGUUUUUGGAACUAAUAAAGGUAUUGCCAUUGUGAUCAAUCAUUACAAAAAAGGAUUGAAUAUUUGGUUAAUAAAAAAUUAUUUUCCAUUUUUCUAGUGCCAUGCAUGACUCUUUUUUGUGAAGCAGGUGCCAUAAAUAAUAUUAUAUAUUCUAAAAAAUCAUUUUUAGCUUGCACAUUUGGAAUGUAGGAAUUAUACACAAAGAAAAAUGUCAAGUUCCCAACCACUUUAUAUGAUUACUCAUCCAUGCAUUUUUUACAACAAUCUAAAAGAAAUUACCGAGAAAGAAAAAAUGCUCAAAAUUGAAAUUCUUUGGCAUGGGGGCGUUUUAUGUGCACUAGCUUGUGGGAAAAGUUAUAAACUGGCAAUACACAUCUCAGCAGACCAUGGGUUGGGUAAAAAAGAUCUUUCUCCCAUUUCCUUGCGCUCGCAAUGAAUUUCUUGUGAAGGAAGGACGAGAAAUUUCAGUACAUAAGGUUGCAAACACAUCUCGGAUCCAUAACAUUGGAAGAAAUCAACGAUAACCAAAACAAACAAUAGUAGAUAAGGUAGCAUCGAACACAUAAGGUAGCAUACACAUCUCGGAUCAACAACAUUGGAACAUCAACGAUGAAGAUAGCAAACUUCAGUACAACGAUAGAUAAAUAAAUCAGAUUUCCGUACAUGACAACUCCAAUUACACAACUAUGGGCGACCACUCAUCCUCCGACUUUGCUUUGUACACGAUAACCACUAAAACGUCGCUGGCUUCACUCAUAGUCUUUACGACGUAUGAAUACCUAUCCUCCUCUACAUACUCAUACUCCCGCACCAUCUGCUCGUCGGUAGUCGAAGCAGGCUUUGACAACCAAUCCUCGUCCUACUCCACCGUUUGUUCGUCUUCGGGCGUAGUCCUUUCGAUGGUCCUCAUAAAAUCCUCCACGUUAUCAGGCAUAAUUGUGUGUAGAAACAUACCAGGAGGAGGCUGCACGUAUCUCACCCCCGGAAGAGCUGCGAGCUCUCGUUUGACCUUUGGAUCCGACAGGUUGCGUCAAGACUCGUAUGAAUACCAUCGAGCUCGCUAACGGGGAUCCGACAACUCCAUUGCCUCACACAUCGCCCAGACAAAAACCCUGAUACAAGUCAGCCCAUUUACUCGAUCUGGAAUUAUCCGCGGGAUCUCGCCCGGUCUCACGCCUAUCCAAAAUUGCAACGCAUGCUCCGCCAGAGCUUUCGUACUUGGAAACCAGGAGUAGAUCUCCUUGCACUUCUCCAAUAAGACAUCGUCACCAGCGGAGAACACCUCCAACGGGGUCGUCAUCACCGACGGCAGCCGCUGGAUUGGGGGUGGGAAGUGGGAGGUGCAGGUGGGCUGCUCAGGCCAUGGGGGAUGAGAAAUGAGAGAGACAGAGAUAUUUCAUCCCCUUUUUUCAAACAUAUGACGCAUCCGUCCACUAAUCAGUCCCACAUGUCGGCAUUUAAGGUAUGUCCCACGCUUCAGCACCGGGUGAAGUAACAUUCAACAACUUUGACCCAGCAGCAAGGCACCGUUUGGCCUUUUGUGGGGCGUAGACAAGUAGAGGAAGGGGAAGGUGAGCAAAGUUAGAUUGGCGUGGCAAAACUGAGCACAAUUAAGGAAGGAGGGAAACAAAAAUAGAAAUGUCCAAAGUUAAUAGGUUAGUCCAUAUAAAUAAUAUAUAAUGGCAUAUAAAGCAUACAAAAUGAUAAUAUAAUAGCAUCAGACAAUCAAAAAUUGUAGAUAUGUUACAGGCGUAUCACACACCUCAAACCUCGAUCUGUCAUACACUGUGUUCAGCACCACAAUACAUUACGAACUGAGUUUUAAGCCCCGGUUCUGCACACACAUGUUUCGAAUCCUAAAUUGCAUUAUUGCGACCUAAGUCACUUAAUCUAAUAGUAACCUAAAUACAUGAACGUGCAAGUAUGAGGGCAACAUCUAGAAACAUACGUGUAUGCGAAACACAGAUAUGCGUAUUCCAACAGACCACGUGGGUAUUAACGUGCGAAUACCCCAAACAAACAAACAUGAUAAGGGUGACAAAUAAGCAGAGAUACUUGAUCUGAUCAUGGGUAGUGCCUCUAUUUGUAAGAUUGUUACUAUAUCCACGAUGGCGCGCGUUGCCGCACCCGUCUAUUUUGACAAUAUAGUGAUAAUAACUUCCAUAAGUAUAUAAGGGAGUUCUUGAUAAACCAAAUUGGAAAGUAAAGUCAUUUUUAUCCGAGACAAAAUUUUGCAUUACUCAUUAGAAAUUAGCAAGGUAAAAUGAUUGGCAUCACUUGUCCAAUAGUCAACAUCCAUCAAUUCACCAUCAUAAAAUUAGACAUACAAAGCAAGAAGAUAUAACAUCAUUCAUCCACAUCACAUACUGAUAUGUGGACUUUACAACCACUGGUAGCAAUACUUCCAUGGCAUGUGCUUGUACCUUGGAACGGUGUCCUCCUAAUAUGGAUCUUUUGGUGCUUCCAUUACCUGUGCUUGUCAAAGAAAUGUGCCUUUCCCAACCUGGAUCUUUCGAUCAAAUACAACCACAUCCUACAUUAGUACAGCACAAAUAAUUAAUAUGCAGCAAUAUGAUAUAAGAAAGCAUGUAGAUUUACUAAUUAUGUAUCUUUGAUCUUAUAAUAAAAUGAAGAUAUCUUAGCUUGGGUUGUAACGAAAUACACGAAAUGUUGUACUCAUAAUUGCAUGUAAUCGUACACAUGGUCAAAUAGUUUGCCAACUUUCUAGUUUGUGGAAUAAGAGGAACACAUGGAUUAACUAAAUCUCACAAACUGAGGGAGCUCUACAGCUAGAGAAGAGCACUGUAGCAAAACUUCAAAGUGCCGAAGUUGGUUAAGUCAGAGUCUAUCCUAAACAGGCAGAACAAAGAGAGUUAUUCCAUGGGAUAACAACCUAACCAGGAAAGUCAAGAGCUACAAAUAGUUCCAAUUGUAACAUUGUGUUCUCUUGGUACUUCUCACGGAAUUAGUAAACUACAUUACCCAUACGAACGAUAAGUCCACUACAAAUAUAGUAAAAAAGGAGAAAUAUUCAAUUUAUUAUUGUCAUAGAUGGUCAUGAUGAUCGAAGCUGGCCAAGCUUCAGAAACGAUAAGCUCAUAACCUAAAGAAUAUUAUUCUUUACUUAUUUUCUCCGAGCCUAAAUAUUUUCCUAGUACAAUAAAAGUAAUGUUUAGUGGGCUCAGGCUGCGCUAGCGGGACGAAAUCUUAGUCAUGGACCCAGGCUCACCUAUGAAAUAGCCUGCAGUCAUGUUAAUGGUUCAACUAAUUGAUGGACAACAGAAAAUGGAAAAAACCAUAAAAGUGCAAGGAAAAGGGCUCACAUAUGGCUCAUAGUAAGUAUUGUAACACAUAUAUCAAUGGUUAUCUCUGCUAGAAAUUUUACCUAGAGGAAACAAGCAAGUGCAGAGUCACAAAAAUAUCACUACCGGACUCGCGGUCUAUGCCUACGGCCACGGGCCGUCGGCAUAGGCCCCUAAGCCGUCGGCAUAGAUCUAUGCCUACGGUUGCCGUCGGCAUAGGCCCGUCGGCGUAGAUGUCGUCAGCGUACUCUUGUUAGACCGUUGGCAUAGUAUAGCCGUCGGCAUAGGGGCCUAUGGCGACGGCUUGAUGUCAGCCGUUGGCAUAGUAUCGCCGUCGGCAGUGUUUUUCGUCUGACGGCAACGGACGGUGCUAUCAAAAGCGCUGACGAAUCGCCGUCGGCAUACCUCUGCCACGUGGCAACCCCUGGUACUCCUGGUGGCAGGGCUAUGCCUACAGCAAAGCCGUAGGCAUAGAUGAAUCUAUGCCGACGGCUUUGCCGUAGGCAUAUCUAUGCCGCGUGUCAUCUCCUGGUUCCUCCUGGCAGUAGGGCUAUGCCUACGGCAAAGCCGUCGGCAUAGAUUUUCAGCUAUGCCUACGGCUUUGCUGUAGGCAUAAAAAGUCUAUAUUCAUAAUAAAUAAGACAAGUGAUAUUGCAAAAACUGAAUAAAAGAAACUAUAUUCAUAAUAAAUGAAGCAUUGCAAUUAUUUGGCCUGAAUAAUAAACGAUCGACUUUAUUAAUAUGAAUGUCAACUACAAGCAUUCAGGAAUUACACUUAGAGGAAAAGGAAAUAAAAGAAGCAAGGAAAAGUCCUAAACUAAACCUAUACUAAACUAUCUACUUCAUCUUCUGCUUCUUUCUUCUGGUUCAUCAACCUGCAAAACAAGAAACAACAAAUAGGAAAAACUUGAUUAAGGUUAAAAUGUAGCAUUCCCCUUAUGGAAAUGCCUUUGCUGUAGGAGCUAGCACUUAGGAGUUUGGAAACAUUAGUCAAACCCCAAUCAGAUUAAGUUGAUAAAAGAAACAUUAGAAGAGAGCUAACACUGCAUAAAUGGAGCCAAUGGAACAGUAACCAGCAAGGCCAAAAGGAAUAGGUUCAAUUGGCAGUAAAGAAUAACCCCAUAGAGAAGUAAAGCCAGCAAAGUAUAGAUCAAAGCUAAACCCAAAGAUCAACUCUAAUUAGCACUAACUCCAUGAUUAGGGGAUCCCUCGAUUAAGCUUGGGUUAGUUUUCAGAUGAAAUCCAACUAACCCACUACUAACCAACUAACCCAGAGGUAGGGUUUGAAGUAGGGAUUGUCCUCAGGCAACCUAGUAGUGCUAGGACUAUUGCAUCAUUGGAUCAAGUAGUGCAGCAUCUGCUGUUAAGUAAUGGUGAGAGCCUCAGGACACCAUCAUUGGCAUGGCAAGACUAAGGAGCACCUGUUCUUAUCAGUGAGAGUAUGAGAGAGAGAAAGAAAGUGAAGAGACCAGUGUAGCAUCUGUUCAAAUCAGAUUUAAGAGAGGGAGUUGGUAAGGAAAGAUACAGUCCAUAACCUGCAAGAAUAAAUAGGCCAUUGAUAGCACAUUUACUAAACAUCUGCCAUAAGCAGAAGUGCAGAACACAUACACCCACUUACACAUGGGUACUAUUCUGUAUAUAGGUACUAAACCAUACAAGAAAUACCAAUACAUGGUAUUUAGAUAAAGACUAGUAUAUAUCAAACACACAUACCAGCUUGAAAGAGAAACUAUAAUUUUAUACCACUACAGGAGCAAAUCAUGAACAAUACAGAGUAAUUGCAGUAAAGAGAUGAAUUAGUAUAUGUUGAUCAAUAAGAAAGUUACAGCUAUAUACAAAUGAAGGACUAUAUCCUUUAUAAGAUAACAAAGAAACAGUAGCACUUGUACAUAUGAAUAAAUAGAACCAGCAGCCAACUAAUAAAGAAACUAGCAUGUGAUAUAGGAUAGGAACAAUAACAUCUAUAAGACCAAGAUAAUUGCAGUGAUAGACCAACAGUAGCAUAGAAUUUCUUGUAAUCAGUCCAUAGACAUGAACUAGAACUAGAAUAUGAACAUGUAAAGCAGCAGGAGCAUAAGUAGACCAAAGUCCACAUUGCCAAAUCCAUAAAGAUAGCACAAUAAUCAAUUGAGCUAAUAAUAGGUGAGACAACCUUCACCAAGCACUAACAGGACACGCGGAGCAGCAUCAAAUCGACCAUGACAUGCUCGAAGAGAGUAGUAUGAGCAGGGGAGCAGAGGGAUUGAGGAGCUUACCAUAAGCAACGCCACCACCAUGGUUGCGGUGUGGCCAAAUCACCGUCGUCGCACGGUGGCAGGCGAUAAGGUAGUCGAGGCUGACGGAUCUGGGGCAGUAGCACCACAGGCAAAAACCAGGAGGCGCUGGUGCACAAGGAGGCACGGGAGGUGGCGCAGGCGACAAGAUCCACGAGCAAGAGCACGCCGACGACAAACCUCUCCCCACCAUCGAAACCCUAGAGAGGGAGAACCGAUGGGGGCGACCACGGGCGGUAGGGAGAAGCGAAUCGAAUGAGUGGAGGAGGUAGAGCGGCUCAAUGAGGAGCCUUGGGUAGCUAGCUCAGCGACAGAGCUCGCCGGAGUAGGCUGGAAUCGGCCGGUGACCGAGGCGGCGAUGUGAGGCGACGAAAGAGAGAAGGGGAUCGAGAGAUAGGGGCUCGGGAUCGAGAGAGAGGGGCUUGGAUCGAGAGAAAGGGGCUCGGGAGCUCGCCGGUGCCUGACCCGCCGCCCGCUGGCCUCGCCGUCGCCGGGGGUGAGGUGGCGGCCGAAACCCUAGCUAGCACGGGGGACGAUGGAGGGCGGGAGCGCCGAUUCUGGACGGAGAGGAAGGAGGCGUGGAGCUUGGGGAGCUCGGGGGAGUGCUUCCUGUCGCCGGAGCUCACCGGAAUAGGCCGGCGUGGGUGGUGGCGGCAGCGAGGGAGAGGGGUUCGUGGGGGAGAGAGGAGCGAGGAGCGAGGUCGCGAGACAGAGAGGGAGGAGGCGUUCGGUGGAGUUGGGUGGGCUCUAUCUUGUGGGCUCUUUUUUUUCUCCUUUUCUCUAGAUGGAUGGAUGGAUGGCUGGAUGGAUGUGGGGUGGAGAGCUAGAUGGAUGGAUAUGCGCCACAUCAUCGAUCCAUGGCACAAACGUUUCCACCAAUAGGAAUCAAGCUCAUGCAAUUGUGUUCUCCCUUUUGUUUUUUCUAAAUUUUUUUACUCUCUUGGACCGCUGAAGGAGGGCAAGUGCUAACCGCGUCCACGCCGGUGAAGGGUCUGGCGUCCUCUGGCCUCGCCGCCAUCGGAGCAGCGCUAGAGGUGGAGGCCAUCGAAACCCUAGCCACGAGGUAGGGUUGUGGGUGGACGGAAGGAGCGGAUCGUGACACAUGGAUGGACGCGGCAGGACGAGGUCCGGCGGACCCGGCUGCCGGCGAUCUGUGAGGGGAGAGGAGGAUCACAGCGGCAUGCCAGAUGCAGCCACUUGUAAACUGCACCAUCUUCGAGUUAGUAUCUGGCUAUCGAGAGGGAACGUGUCCGGUUUAUGAAGGAAGUGUGUUGCCCGUUGCUCCGUUGACCUCGAAACUUCUUGUGCUCUCAAAUGGGGGCAUUUCAUGACACGUUCCCGGGCAUAGCAUUUUUUGGGACCGCCUGGAAUAUUUGAGACAUUUACUGCAUCUGUAGGGCUUCAAUGUGGAAAAAUGCAGAUCUGCACGGUGGCCACCUGAAAUGAUGUCAAUAAGUGGUUUGUAAAUCAUAUAUGAUGUCUUUGCAGUAUGCGUAGGCCUAGUGCAACGAAAGGAGGAGGAGCCAUACCACUGGGGGGCGAAUGUACCUUGGCGGCAUGUCGGAUCUAGCCGUAAAAAUCCACGGAAAAUCAUACAAUGCUGGAAAUCCUCGGGACCUGGCACGGUGUCAUCAUAUGGCCCUUGUAAGGUGUGGUAAAAAUUCGAGCGUGUUUCGCAGAAGUCUGACCGGCGGCCACUUGUAAACCGCACCAUCUUUGGGUUAGUAUCUUGCUAUAGAGAGAUAAUGUUUCGGUUUGUGAAGGAACUACGCUGCCCGUUGCUCCGUUGACCUUGAAAAUUUUCAUGCUCUCAAAGGGGGCCAUUUCAUGAAACGUGCCAGGACAUGGCAUUUUUGGGCACGCCUGGAAUAUUUGAGACAUUUACUGCAUCCGUAGGGUUUCAAUGCGGGAAAUCACAUAUCUGCACAGCGGCCACCUGAAAUGAUGUCCAAAAGUGGUUUGUAAAAUCAUAUAUGAUGUCUUUGCAGUAUGCGUCGGCCUAGGAGGAGCAACCCCACCACGGGGAGGGGCGAAUGUACCUCGACGAGAUGUCAGAUCUAGCCGUAAAAAUCCACGAAAAAUCAUACGAUGUCGGAAAUCCUUGGGACCUGGCACGGUGUCGUCAUAUGGCCCUUGUAAGGUGUGGUAAAAUUUGAGCGCGUUUCGCAGAAGUCUGACCGGCGGCCACUUGUAAACUGCACCAUCUUCAGGUUAGUAUCUUGCUAUAGAGAGAGAAUGUUUCGGUUUGUGAAGGAACUGCGCUGCCUGUUGCUCCGUUGACCUCAAAAAUUCUCAUGCUCUCAAAGGAGGCCAUUUUAUGACACGUGCCAGGACAUGGCAUUUUUCGGGCCCGCCUGGAUUAUUUGAUAAAUUUACUGCAUCCGUAGGGUUUCAAUGCGGGGAAUUGCAGAUCUGCACGACGACCACCUGAUAUGAUGUCCAGAAGUGGUUUGUAAAAUCAUAUAUGAUGUCUUUGCAGCAUGCAUAGGCCUAGUGCAACCAAAGAAGGAGGAGCCCCACAACUGGGGGGCGAAUGUACCUUGGUGGCAUGCCAGAUCAAGCCGUAAAAAUCUGUGGAAAAUCAUACGAUGCCGGAAAUCCCCGGGACCGGGCACAGUGUCUUCAUAUGCCCCUUGUAGGGUGUGGUAAAAGUUUGAGCGCAUUUCGCAAAAUCCUGACCGGAGGCCGCUUGUAAACUGCAACAUCUCCGAGUUAGUAUCUAGCUAUCGAGAGAGAACGUGUCUGGUUUGUGAAUGAAAUGCGUUGCCCGUUCCUCCAUUGGCUAUUUCAACCCUCCAUCACACAUGUAUACAUAUAUUAAGACACAAUGCAAGUUUGGGUACCAUUGAUACCCCCAAGGCCCCCGACCGACCUAAUCCUAGCCCGGUUGACCCGAGGAUCUAGGCCUUUGACUUUCACCGAACGGCCUUUGACCAACGUACUUUUCCACCUGGUUGUGAUAGGUCAGCCCAUAGGAACAUUUCAAAACAAGGUCUGGGCCCAACACACCAGCGGACCCCCCUCGUGUCGACCCGAUGCGGCCAUUCCCCCCCCCCCCACUGCAAGUGUCGGCGGCAGCGCCUUCCGUGAAGGGGGUCACAUUCCGGAGCCGCGUGUCGUUUGUUUGCACCUGACAGCACACUUCCAGACAUGUAAGAGGACCUGGCGCAAGAUUUGAUGGCAUAGCUAGCCCCCAAAGGCCCCCGACCACACUCGUAGACAUGCGAAGAACAAUCCAUGGUGGGGGAUUUUUUCACAUACUCCUGCAUCUUACAAAAAUAUAAGAAAUUGCCACACAUAUUAUAUCAUAUGUGUCUGCACUGUGUAAAAAUCUCAUGAAUUGAUUACGCUUCAAGUGUUCAGGAAUAUUCAUGCAACGCCAAAACCGCAGAAGGAUUACUUCGAUUGCAUCGCCGUUCAUGAGGGCAAACCUCACACCGGAGCCACGUAUUGCCUCUUUAGACAUGGCACCACAUCUUUCGACGUGUAUGAGGACUCGGCGCGAUGCUCUGGUGGCAUUGCCCCCCCCCCCAAGGCCCCCGGUCAGUCGAACCCUGGACAAGUUGACCCGGAAAUCUACGCCUUUGACUUUCACCGGACGAUCUUUGACCAAUGGACGUUUUCACCUGGUUGUGAUAGGUCGGCCCAUAGGAACACUUGAGAACAAGGUCUGGGACAAACCCACCAUAAGAUUCCCUUCGUGUCAACCCGACAUGGCCGUUUCCUCCCUCCAAGUGACAACGGCAUCGGCGUCCAUGAAGGGUCACACUCCUGAGCCAGUUGCCUUUGCACCCGCCACCACAAUCCUUGAAACAGUCUGAUGAAGCAAACAUGAUUNNNNNNNNNNCCCCCCCCCCCAAGGCCCCCGGUCAGCCGAACCCUGGACAAGUUGACCCGGAAACCUACGCCUUUGACUUUCACCGGACGAUCUUUGACCAAUGGACGUUUUCGCCUGGUUGUGAUAGGUCGGCCCAUAGGAACACUUGAGAACAAGGUCUGGGACAAACCCACCAUAAGAUUCCCUUCGUGUCAACCCGACAUGUCCGUUUCCUCCCUCCAAGUGACAACGGCAUCGGCGUCCAUGAAGGGUCACACUCCUGAGCCAGUUGCCUUUGCACCCGCCACCACAAUCCUUGAAACAGUCUGAUGAAGCAAACAUGAUUUAAGUUUGUUCAAAUUUGAAACAUAGUAUAGCACAUAAUCCUUUCAAGAUUCUGAUAAAAACCAUAUGAAUUUCGUCAAAAUCAAUCCAAGUAUCAAUUACUUAUGAUUUUAAUAAAGUAGAAGGACCUAUAUGCAAAAGUACAGGAGGCCACAUUUCUAACAUACUCAAAAACAAAAACAAACUGGAUAUUCAUAAUCUAUGGAAAAUUCUACCCUAAAUCGAUGUAUAAUUUGUGUAUGUUUAAGUUUAGAUAAGUUAGAUUUAAAUUAAACAAAAUUUAACUUAAAAAAUAAAAAUAAUUUAAAAUAAAAACAAAUAAUAUCUAUGCCUACAGCCAUGCCAUAGGCAUAGUUCUCGGCUAGGGGCUGCCAGGAGGUGCCACGUGGCGCGGCUAUGCCUACGGCAAGGUCGUAGGCAUAGAUGGAAAACUAUGCCUACGGCUUUGCCGUCGGUAUGAUCUGGCACGUGGCAGCUCCUAGUAAAAAAAUAUAGAUAAUAUCUAUGCUGACGGCCGCCGUCAGGGCCGUCGGCAUAGAUUUAACGGCGUCAGCCCGCCGUUUGUCCCUGGGCCACCAGGGCCACAUCUAUGCCGACAGCCUAACUAUGCCUACGGCCACCGUAGGCAUAGAUUGAUAUAUGCCGACGGCCUAACUAUGCCUACGGCUGCCGUAGGCAUAGAUGGAGGUAUGCCGACGGCUUCUCUAUGCCGACGGCUUUUCCCAAGCCGUUUGCGUAGCUCGAGUUAUGCCGACGGCCCCGACAAAAAGCCAUCGGCAUAGAUAAGGCCGUGGGCAUAGAGGAUUAUUCCGGUAGUGUAUGUGAUACAAAAAGUUUGAGAAUGGUAAGUCAGUAAUGGGUAAAGCAACUAUGACACCAAUUUAAAAGAGUUCUAGAUAUCAAUCGUUACAGUGCUAAACUCACAAAUCAGGUAGACUCAGAAAAUAAGAAGAAAACAAUCUGUAACAAUAUCUAUUGAGUUAAACCUCCCCUCAAAUAUCCAGUAUAAGCAUUACUCUGUACAAAAAGAGCUUUCAAGAAGCAAUCUAUCAUCAUGUAAGCCAGAGCAAUCAACAUUUAACAUACUAUAUGUUCCACCGUUAUUGACUUUGCCCUAUCUCAGAAGUUAAAAUUUGACUAUUUAUUUUGUGCGAAUUCAUUUAUUAAAUGGGAAGGAAAUGCAUGGUGACCAAAAAAUGUAGGAAACCUGUAACCACACAACUUUUUUUAAAUACCAUCAGCGAAAGUUUUCAGGGUUUGAUUAGUCGGACACUGGGGGAGCACUUUAUGAGGUUUGUAGGUUGAAUCCACCGCAAGAUGUAUAAACCUUAUUACUUAUAAGCAACUAAAGCCUCUUACCUUUAAGAUUAUAUGUGCCGUCAUUUAUGACAAAGCUUCAUCCAAGCUGAAAGCAAAAUUUCCCAAACUACAUGGGCACCGCCAUCACAAUACCUCCGAGAAAUUCCAAGUUUUCCCACCUUCCAAUUUUUUUCGAAAUCUUUUAUUUUGCUAGAUGAGCAAGAUUCCUGUCAUCCCAUGGAAGGCAUUCAAGAAUUAUGCGAGCCAAAUAAAAUGUUACGUAAAAAACUUGACUAUUUUGGAAUGUAAAAAUUUAAAUUGAGAUGCUCACUAACAUCAUUUUUCAAAGAUGGAAUUCCACUUUUUUUACCAAAUUAGUACAAAGAAAAGAAUUAAUGUAACACUGGAUAACUUAAAAGAGGCACGUAACCAUCCUCGUUGUACAUCCCAGCUUCUAGUAUAGUUGCUGCACAGCAAAUCAGAAAGUGGAUUGGUUACUGUACUAAUUUCAAGAGAUGAAGAGAGAAAUUAAAAAUAGUAAUGAAUGCACAAAAUAAAUAAGAGAAACACAUAGAUGUUGGUAAACCUGGUUAUACAACUGAUUCUUGAAUUUUUCUGCAUGUGGUUUCCCCUCAGAUUUAAAUGCAUAAGAAACUUGAGCAUCAACUCCUGUGACAGAAUUGAAGUAUUUUCCAAGUACGAACCUUUCAUUGUUAAAGCAAACAAAAAAUCAUAUUCUUUUCUUUCUGCUCAAUUCUGUAAAAGAGAAAGAACCAAUUAAAAAAGUAUCACCAACAUAAAUUUUACACUUCAGAAAACGAUCAAACUGUACAUAAAAGAAUUAAGAGAAAUUUGAGUUUAUUUGGAAUAUCUUGAACAAGUAGAAAAAAAUGAUUAAAUAGAUACAAUGGAACUCACAUGAUUAAAUCGAGUGUACCAGUGAUAAUUGUGAGGGGCCUUGUAUCAUGUCAAAGCUCUCGCGUAAAGCAGAUAUUCUAAGACCUAGCAAGCUGCAUGAGAGUGUCUACAGCCAUUUCUUUUGGGAUGAUUCUCGUGUUUUCAUGGUCUGAAGCAUGGCAUUCCCCUGUGGCCUAGGCAUAUGGCAUAAGGGGGAAGGAGAACUGUACCUGUAGGCAAGCAACUACCAACAUGGAGCAAGUGCAGCAGGGCGGCGGCCAUCUUGAGAUGUACCUGUAGGCAAGGACGACCAGCGUGUAGUAAGUGCAGCAGGGCAGAGGCCAUCUUGGAACUUGGAUGGCAACAGACAUGUGGCUGACGACCUACUUCACAAGCAGGAAGAGAUUCAGAUCGGGUCCGAAGGACCAGAACGGUGAAGUCGGUGCCUAGCCUAGGUUUUCCCCGAGAGGUGUCUGCUGCAACCACAUAGUAGCCCUUGAGAAUUCAACCAGCGCGCCACGACAGCCGCUUCCAAACCCCUCUCCUUCCCCGCAUCGGCUUCCUACAUCGCCUCGCCCUGCAUCGAUCGGUGAAGCCCUACACCGCCUCGCCCCGCAUCGAUCGGUGAAGCACGCGUGGCUUCGUGUCGCUUCGCAUCAGGCGAUCACUCGCACACGAGGGAUUGGAAUGAGACUGGUUUGGUCGGUGACGGAGGAUGCACAGAAGUAGGAGAGACACACAGACUUGUAGAGGACGGAUGGAGGAAGUGACUCCGGCCGCCUCCUUCGCCAUGAUCUCCUAUUUUUGUGCGAGAUUUGGAGGCUCGGUCUAGAAGGGCAGCGAUCUGAGUAGCUCCACUCCGCAUGAUGUGCUUGGCGAUCCGUUUGGCCCGCCGUUGACAUUUUCACCACACCUCUCUCUAUUUCUCUCUGCGGAUACGACCACAGCGGCGGCGCACCUGGAGGGAUCGGUUGGAGUGGAGGGUGCGGGGAGGGGAUUCUUCCUGUUGCAUCUUGAGGGUAAAAACGUGAGAAGGAGGAUGGCGGCGGCUGGGCGAAGAAGAGGCGUCCUUCCACGGAUGGGGAUGGGGAUUUCGGCGGUUGCUGGGCAAUUGAAUCCCAGACGAGAGACGAGAGACGAGAGGACAGGCCGUUAGGGAGUGGGGGCGAGGGGAGGACUGCUCAUGCCCGGCAGGCCCAAACAACAGCAGAUCGCUGAUUUUGUUGCCGGAGCAUCGGCCCAGUCCGUUUAGGGCUCCCGGCUGGGUGGAAGGUGCAUCCAACGGCCAAAAACGCCUAGAAGUGCAGAUCCGACGGUUGAGAUACUAAUAGCCUGAGAGGGCUGGAAAAGUGCUCGGUUGUAAUGUUUCUAAAUGAGACCUACGAUCCACAUGUGACACAAAUAGAACUCCACAAGCACUCUCCUAAAAUUAGUUGACUUAACAUUGCCUAUUUUGGGAUUUCUAUUCUCUCCCUGCAAAAUGUCUCCACUUCUUAUCUCUACUACUCAUCCUUGAUCUUUAAUUAUAUAGAACUAGAGAUAGUUGUCUCCUUGAAGGGAGCACCUUAUUUAUAGGACUGGUAGAAGAGACCGACGAAUUAAUCACGUGACAUCUGACACUAACCAAACUCCACAACCCUUUGUACUAAAAUUAACAUACUCCACUAUUUGAGAUUUAUUUUCUCCCCAACCAAAAUAUCUCCACUACUUAUCCUUGCACUUUUGACAUAGCCUGUUUUUUCAAAGAGAAAAUAGAACAGGAAACAUCGCAAAGUCUAGAAAUAUCUUGUCACACGUUUUUAACUAAUCAAGAAUUUGGGGUUCAUUGAGAAACAUGCACGUGCAUGGGAUCGUGAGGAAGGCAGCACGGGUCCGUCAGGAGUGGCGGUUACCACUCCAACAAGAAAGGAGGCUAUUGGACGCACGUCGAUCUGGAGUCCGAUUCAGUGUGUUUUUUGUUGAUGCUUCUUUCACUCAUUUAGUUUCAGUUAUAAUUUACAUACACCAGUUUCUUGAAAUGACUGAAAUUAAUUAUUUGCAAUGAGUGAAAUUAUCUUUUGGAAAUAAUUGAAACAUGUCUUUCAAUAGAAAGGAGUGAAAUUGGUUUUUUGAAAUGAAAGAAAUCUUUUUAGAAUGAUUGAAAUAUUUUUUUAAAUAAGUGAAAUGUAUUUUUUGAAAUGAUUGAAAACAAUCUUUUAAGUGUGUGAAAUCCGGUUUUAUGAAAUGAAUGAAAUCCAAGAGAUUUUAUUUCAAUCAUUCAUAUAUUUUAAACUAUAGUUUCAUUUUUGAUUUUUUUAAAUAUAUUGAGCUCCUGGUACCAACACCUUCAGAGUAAGACUAAUCUUUGAUACAUUUAAAACACGUUUAAAUUCAGUGUUUCAAGCUAGUUAUUUCACUCAAUGUAUUUCAGUAUGUGAAACUGGUGAUUUGUCAAGCUGGUUACUUAUGUGUGAAAUUAGUUAUUCGAAAUCGGUAUGUGAAACUUUCACUAGACCUGGCUGAGCUCUCUGGGAUCCAGUGGCCGUCCAUUAGCGCUCAUAAUUUGUCUAAGAUAGUUUUCAGUACAUAUAGUCCCUUACAUUUUGCUACUUUUAUAAAUGUAUUUUCACAUUCUCAUUUUAUUUUCUGCUAAGUGUUUACUGGCAGUUUAUUUUUAUGUUUAGAUAUACAAGUUCACUAAAUGUCACCUUCACUCCUGACUGUAACCUAUCUCUCGAAACCACCAUGCGUAACAUAACAAAGUGCUUUGCACACUCUUAAUAAAAAAAGAUAUACUCAUUUAUUCUACACACACACAUUUGUCAUGCUUACUCUACAUUAUUAUUCUCUUAUAUUCUGUUACACACCGAUCCGUCAUAUAUUACGAAUCCAGUUUUAAACCCGAGUUCUUUACACACAUGUUCUUAAUCCUAAACUGCAUUGUUGCCACCUAAAUACAUGAACAUGCAAGUAUGAGGAAAACUUCCAGAAACAUGCAUGUAUGCAAAACACGAAUAUGCGUAUUCCGACAGACCACGUGGGGAUUAACGUGCGAAUACCCAAAACAAACGAACAUGAUAAGGGCGAUGAAUAACCGUCUUGAUCCGAUCUUAGAGAGUGCCUCUAUUUGUAAGAUUUUUAUGACACCUACGAUCCACAUGUGACACAAAUAGAACUCCACAAGCACUCUACUAAAAUUAGUUGACUUAACAUUGCCUAUUUUGGGGUUUCUUUUCUCUCCACGCAAAAAGUCGCCACUACUUAUCUCUUCUACUCAUCCAUGAUCUUUAUAUAGAAGUGGAGAUAGUUGUCUCCUUGCAGGGAGCACCUCUAUUUAUAGGACUGUUAAUUACAAGACCGACGACUCAAUCAUGUGACAUGUGACACCAACCAAACUCCACAACACUCUGUACUAAAAUUAACAUACUCCACUACUUGAGAUUUCGUUUCUCUCCAACCAAAAUAUCUGCACUACUUAUCCUUGAUCUUUUGACAUAGCCUUUUCUUUUGAUCAAUCAAAAAGAGAAAAGAGAAAUAAAUCUCANNNNNNNNNNUUUUUUAGCACAACUGCGACUACAUCUAUAGACCAGUAGUUCACCACUUCACUGGAAAGUGCGUUUGAAAUUGUAGCAAAGUUUUCUUACUUUCGUAACAACUAAAGCGCAUUCUCUCCUUUACUCUUAUUCCGGCAUGGAUCCCACUAAGCAUCUAGGCAAGGGCGAUUUCCAAAUCUUUUCCAGCACAACAUAUAAAGCACGCCUUCUACUGGAGAACAAAUCAACAAAAAUAUCCAUGAUAUCCUAAUUGAUCGUGCCCUUGGGUCUGAUGGUUUUCUCGAAAAAAUGUUGGAACGUAAUAGAAGAUGACUUCCCAACUCUUUCCCCCUUGAAUUCAUUAACGAUUAUAAUCUUGUUUCACACCUACUCCAUCCGUUCCCUAAUAUAAGAUCUUUUAACUUUUUCUUGAUUCGUAUGUAUCUAGACACAUUUUAGUAUGUAUGUUCACUCAUUUUAGUGUGUAUGUAGUCAAUAUUUUGAAAUGGCUACAAGGUAUUAUAUUAGGGAACAGAGGGAGUAAAUUCUAGGCAUUAAACUCGUCACUAUGAUCCUUGUCGGCAGAUUCCAAGGGAAGCAUUCUUCAACUCACUCACCAAAAUCAUAAUGGUUUCAUAAGUGGUGGGACCAUCAAGACCGCCGCCUCACUUGGAAGUUUAGAAUUUUUACACCAAUCCCAGCAAUCAAAAUGGAAAAUAUUGUGCUUAAAAUUGAUUUUGAGAAAUCCUUCCACAUCAUUGAGCACAACACCAUCAUCAGGGUUUUGGAGAAUCUAGGCUUUAAUAAGCGUUGGAUUGGAUGGAUUGACUCCAUUCCCUCCAUUGGUACAUCUUUUAUGCGUCUUAACGGUGUCCUUCAAAAGAAGUUUCAUUUCGGCAUGGGACAGACAAAGAGUCCCUCUCUCAUGUCUCCUCUUUGUUGUCGUCUAACCUCUCCCAAACCAUUAGUAACAAUGCAUGUCAACUGAAAUUGCUCAAGCUCUCUCUCCCAAUCUCAAACAAAAAUUUCUUCGUCGUUCACUAUGUUGAUGAUAUGCUUCUUGUACUGGAGGCUUGCCAUCUGAAAUUCCUUUGGUUUGAAGGUGUCCUAUAAUCUUAUGGUCAAUCCACCGGUCACAUAGUCAACUUUCAAAAGUCAUUCCUCCUUCUUAUCAAUGUGGCACCCCAGCUCAGAGGAACUGGAACACCCCAUAUUCCAGCCCAGAGAUCAGGUCUUCUGUAAUACGACACUGCUUGGCAUAGAAUAAACCAGCUCUUAUUACAAAUGAUUGUUGGGGAAUGUAGCAUGCAAUUUCAAAAAAAAUCCUACGAUCACGCAAGAUCUAUCUAGGAGAUGCAUAGCAACGAGAGGGGGAGAGUGUGUCCACGUACCCUCGUAGACCGAAAGCGGAAGCUUUUAACAACGUGGUUGAUGUAGUCGAACUUCUUUUCAUUUCCGACCAAUCAAGCACCGAACGUACAGCACCUCCGAGUUCUGCACACAUUUAGCUUGAUGACGUCCCUCGAACUCUUGAUCUAGCAAAGUGUCGAGGGAGAGUUUCGUCAGCACGACGGCGUGGUGAUGAUGAUGGUGAAGUGAUCCGCGCAGGGCUUCGCCUAGGCACUACGACAAUAUGACCGGAGGCGUAAACUGUGGAGGGGGCGCCGCAGAUGGCUAGGAAUCAAUGUUGUGUAUUCUAGCACCACCCAAGGCUACCAGGAGGUAGUAAGCAGCUAUUGUAUGGAGUCAAGUAAAUCAGUAAUAAUAUGCUCUUUGGAGGGUUUCACUAUAUAUCUAAGAUUGGAAAAAUCCAACUUAAAUCACUGUUUCCAGGCUGUGACCGAAGGCUUGAUCUUUCUGAAGUGAUGGUUGUUGCGCUCCUUCCAUAGGCUCCAGGCCGACGUCAAGAAGAUAUCCAUCCACAUCUUUCGGGGCUGCUUGGUUUUUUGGUGCAUGAUCAUAUCGAGUCUGUCAUGAUGUGUGGUCCAGGUGAAACCCAGAGAUCUCUAGCACUCCUGACUGAAAGUGCAAUAAAAUACUAGGUGUUCCACCGUUUCUUCUACAUGUUGGCCGCACAAGAGGCAAUCAAAAUUGUUUCCAAUGUUGUAGUGUCUCCUCUUGAGCAUGUUUCUGGUGUUGAGACGAUCAACAAGUAGGAGCCACCCAAAGGUCUUAAUCUUGGGAAUACAUUUUGCUAUCCAUAGCCAACCGAAAGCUUCAUGGGCAAUCACAUCCCUGAAAUAAAAUUUGUAAUAUGAGGAUGUUUUGAAGUUAUUGUCUCCCCACACACAUUGCCAAGUGUCAUGAUCCUCCGUAAGUGUGAUUUCGGCCACCUCAGCUUGGAUGGAGCGCAGUUCAUCACGAGCUUGAAUAGAGAGUGGUAGGUGGAAGGUUUCAUGCAGAUCAGUGGAUGUUAGGAGAUGUUUGACCGAGAGAUGUCUUCAAAAAUGGCAUAAGAAUAGGCCCUCGGGCAUGUUUCAACAUAUAUGGACUGACUCCAAUUAUCUUUCCAGAACAAGGCAGAAGAUCCAUUACCAAUUUUGAUGCGUGUCACACCACGAUAUGUGGGCAUUAGAUGAGUUAAAUCUUUCCACUAGAAGGAACCACACGAGUCAUGAGCAUGUGGAAUAGUGUCAUCGUAAUAAGAGUCCCAGAUUAGAUGGACCCAAGGGAUAUCGUGCUUGUUAUAGAACUUGUGGAGAAACUUGAGGAGUAAGGCAUCAUUCUGUAUUCUGAGGUUAAUGACACCCAUACCACCAUUUUCCUUGGGCGUGCAGACCAUAUUCCAAGCAGCAAGAGAAUUACUCUUAAUUCCAUCGUCAGACCGUUUUUGCCAUAGACAGUGUCUUCUUAUCUUGUCAAGUUGAGCUACAAUCUUUGGUGGGAGACGAAUUGUGCCCAUUGUGAACAUGAUAAGAGAAGUGAUCAUCGAUUUCAUGAGAGAAAGUUUCCCCGCAUAUGACAUUAAAGACAUAGCAGCCGUGAUGUUCCUUUCUGCCUUGCAAACAAGAGGAGCCAAAUCUUGGACCGACGGCCGAGUGGUGCCUAGGGGUAGGCCAAGGUACGUGAACGGCAUGGAACCCACAGUGGAACCUAACAGAUCAGCCAGUUCUUUGCAUUUAUCAGGAGGCGUGUUAAUCGGAACUAUCGUGGAUUUAUGGAAGUUGAUCUUGAGUCCGAUGGACGUGGCAUAAUCCUCAAGGAUCUCCUUAAUCUUGGCAGUUUGGCGGGUGCAGGCUGGCAUGAUGAUGAUCAUGUCGUCCGCGUACUAGAUAACGGGGUAGUCUCCAUUAGUGUUGCGUCGGAUGGGUAGUUCCAGGAGGUUAUUUCGAAGGGCAUCACUGGAGCAGAUCUGCGGCGAUGACAAAGAUCAGAGGCGAUAGAGGGUCACCUUGUCGUACACCACAUUUGCAUUGGAAAGAUUUCCCCGAAGUACCAUUUAGCAAGACCGAAGAUUUACCAGAAGUGAAGAUACAUUGGAUCCAUUGAAGCCAUUUGUCAUUGAAACCCACUUUUUUCAUAAUGUGCAACAUAGCAGAAUGUUGGAUAGUGUCAAAGGCUUUGGCGAAAUCCAACUUCAGCAAAAUUAUCUCCUGUUGCGAAGAUUGACAUUGGUAUAUGUAUUCAAAAGCCCACGGCAGACAGUCAUGUAUAGAUCGUCCAUGUAAGAAUCUGUACUGAUUACGGUGGACUAUCUGCAAAAUGAUCUUUUGGAGGCGAUUGGCCAGCAGUUUUGUGAUCAAUUUAAGGCAACAAUUUAACAAAGUGAUCGGGCGAAAGUCAUUGACCGUCUCUUGUGAGGAGUUCUUUGGGAUCAAGGUAAUAUAGCCCUAGUUUAAGCAUUCAAGGUUCAAAUCCCCUCUAUGAAAUUCAUUGCACAGAUUGUAAAAAUCGUUUUUAUGAUUGGCCAGCAUGCUUUCAAGAAGGCGCCAUUGAAGCCAUCAGGGCCCGGUGCUCUGUCCGGGGGCAUCUCCUUAACCACAGCAUCAAUCUCAUCAUGUGUGAAUGGGGUAGUAAGGCUAUCAAAAUCAACCUGUUGUCUGCGUAAAGAUGAAAGGUUAAGCUUCAUGCUUGAUUCCGAGCAUGUACCCAGUCUUUGUUUGAAGGCUUGGAACAAAAUAGUUUCCUUGCCAGCAUGAUCCUCCACAAUAGUCCCUUGUUCAGUUUUUAAGGUAGCAAUGCAGUUUCUUCUGAAUCUUUUCAUAGCUACCGAUUGGAAAAAAUUUGAAUUUCAUCUACAAACUUGAUCUGACGGAUUGUGCAUCUCUUCUUCCAGUAGUCCUUUUGAUAACUAAGUAGUCAGAGGGGGUGCUUUUUGAGAAUGUUUCUGAAGUUAUGUUCAGGAACCAAGAGGGCGCGACGCUCUUCAAUACCAUCAAGUUCAAGCAGGGCUUUGUUGGAAUUGUUGAUGGCAAUCUUGAGGCGGGAAAUCUUUUUGCUCCCGUGAGUUAAGUCAUAACGGAUAGCUUUCAGUUUUUGGCAGAGGAUAGAUGCCGCAUUGUUAUAUUUGCCAAAUCUAAGAGGCUUAUUCCAAGCUUCCUCAACAACAUGCAGGAAACCUGGGUGAGCAAUCCAAUAGGUUUCAAAUCUAAAAAUUCUGCUCUUGGGGAUCUUUGAUUGGAUGACCACAGAACAGGGUAUAUGGUCAGAGACUGGGCGGCCCAAUGGGUUUACCAUAGUGUUAGGAAAAGAUGUCGUCCAAUUGAGCGUGGUGAAGAACCAAUCUAAUUGUUCGAUCAGAGGAUUAAGCUGCAUAUUAGACCAAGUGAAAGCGCAACCUUUAAUGGGAAGUUCGGUUAGUUCUUGCUCUCGGAUGAAAUCAUUAAAGGUAAACAUAUCCUGAGUGUUCCCUCCUGGUAAAUUACGAUUGUCAAGCGAGCGAAUGUAGUUGAAAUCACCCAGCAGAAGCCAAUCUUCAGAAGAAGGGAUGGAGAGGACAAACAACCAUUGAGUGUAAGUGUUACGCUGCUCCCCUUGACAUGGGCCGUAAAUAUUAACCAAAGUCCAGUUAUGAGCAUUUUGGGUGGAAGUGAAAUUGAUGCCUAACGCAAAUUGCUCCUCAAAAGUGACCGUACCAGUGAAAAGAGCAGNNNNNNNNNNNNNNNNNNNNNNNNNNNNNNNNNNNNNNNNNNNNNNNNNNNNNNNNNNNNNNNNNNNNNNNNNNNNNNNNNNNNNNNNNNNNNNNNNNNNNNNNNNNNNNNNNNNNNNNNNNNNNNNNNNNNNNNNNNNNNNNNNNNNNNNNNNNNNNNNNNNNNNNNNNNNNNNNNNNNNNNNNNNNNNNNNNNNNNNNNNNNNNNNNNNNNNNNNNNNNNNNNNNNNNNNNNNNNNNNNNNNNNNNNNNNNNNNNNNNNNNNNNNNNNNNNNNNNNNNNNNNNNNNNNNNNNNNNNNNNNNNNNNNNNNNNNNNNNNNNNNNNNNNNNNNNNNNNNNNNNNNNNNNNNNNNNNNNNNNNNNNNNNNNNNNNNNNGGAUAUACGCAUAUCUAUCAAAACGUUUACGGCAGAGCGAUUUGAGAGUGGUAGCAUCAAACGUCGACAUUUUAGUUUCUUGUAGAUAGAUAAUCGCACACCCACUAGACUGGAUCGCAUUAGAAAGUGCUAAGCAUUUUUUCGAAUUAAGACCACGAAUAUGCCAACAUAGAACGUUCCACGACUACAAAAGUACCAUUAAACGAGUAAAUAGAGAAAGCAACCGAGCUUAGGUCGAGGAAGAUGUCCCAGCCGGAUCUUUAGUGAGUGCAGUAACAGUGAGCUCCUCCUCCGGGAUGGCACACAGAUUUGUGCCAAUGGCUUGCAUUGUGGCGAUGGCAGUUGGUGGAGGGAUUUCUUCAUUCAUCAUCUGCAGGGAGGAAGCAACUGUAGAGUCCAGGGAAGUAGCCGAGGGAACAGUACACGGCUCCACUUUGGAUUUGGGGGCCUUAACUUUAGAAAGAGAAUGGAUACGGAAGCCAUCAUAUUUAUUGGAACGGUUUCUGCGAUGAAGAGUUGAGGUAUCAAUUGGAGCUGGCAUUUUCCCUUUGCGUUUGCGAGAUGAGGAACCAACAGCAGUGAUUGAGGGUUUAGAAAUUUCACCUGUCGCAAUCUGAAGCAAACCGGUCUGAGUUUCAGAGUGGUAAGCAGCCAGGUCAGUCAGAGGUGAUUCAGUAUCCGCAUCAGUUCUCAUAUGGAGGGAAUCAGCAUUGACAAGAGCAGAAACAUCAACAGUAUCAGAGACCUCAACCCCAUAAUUUUCCACAGAACCCUGAUUCUCCUGCAUGAUCUGUCCAUCAGAGUUUGGCAGGCUAUCAGAAAGCUCCUCAAUGAUCACACCAGAGUUAGUGGACGGAGCAAGCAAAUUGUGCUGUGUGAAAUGAAGGCCCGCAGGGCUAGCAGCCACCUGAACCUCAAGGUGCAGAACAUCCUGCCUGAACCCAAAACCAGAAGCCCAUUGUCCCCUUGUAGCAAGUAGAGGACGAAUAGCAUGGAAAAGUACAGUGUUGAGUUGCUGUUGGGGUAUGGGAUUGGAUAGAAGGAUUUCCAAGAGAGAAUCACCUUGAGCAGAUAAACCAAAACGCAUACCUUGGUCGUGAAUAUCCACAGAGAUGGUGACCACCUCAGCAGCAGCAGUGUGUAUCUCCUGAUUGAUAAGGGCAGGACUAGUAAUACAUGGAGAAGCCGCAGGUAAAAUGAUCAAGUCCGACUCAGUGGAAGCAGUAUCUUCAGAAGAAGUAUAUUCAGAAGAAGUAACAGCCUCAUGCCAAGCUUGCAUAGGAUUGUUAGUGACAUUGGUUUCAGGAACGACUCCAUGCAAAAUAGUGAGGCCCUGGGAAGCAAGCCAAGCCUGAUAAUUCAUUAGGUGAGGUGGCAUAGGAUGAGCUGGAGGUUCUGGCCAAACACCCCACCCUUGGUUUGGAGCUUCUUCAUUGUUACGAGCAGGUUGAUUGGGGGGAUCAGCAUUCUGCACUAACCAAUUAUGAACCUGCUGCUGAUAGAGCUGCUCAGCAGUAAGCUCAGGUCCGAACUAUGGAUGAGGGUUGCCAUCAUCGGGAGGUGGCUCUUCAUUAGCAGGCAACACUUCAGAGAGCAAACCAUUCCAGUCAUUGCUUCUUAAGAUAGUUACCUAAAUAGUCCAACAGUCCCUAGCACCUCCAAGCUGUCAGGCAACAAAACUUUUGGGCACUAAAUUCAGGCAGAUCACACAUGCUUUGAUCAACAUAUACCUCCUAUCCUGGCGUGGGUUGUACCAUGAAACCAUAGAACCAUAACCCCCUAAUGCCUUAGUGAUGUAGUAGUCCAUUUGGUAAUCAUAGGGGAAACCGAAAAACAUCAACCAAAUCUCUGGACCAAAGGAGGCGGUGUGUUUGUUGAGGGCCUCAUUGUGAGGCACAAAAGUGAUAAGAAGAUCCUCAUCCUCUAGUUCUAGCGGCGUGUUGGCAGCCGUAUCCCUCAAGAAUGAGUUUACAAAACCAAAGAUCCCAAUACCACGUGGAUGAUCACUAGUUUUAGUGGUAAAGAGAUUGGCUUCAUGCAGCAAACCUUCGAUAGCAGUCCGAAUGGCAGCCCGACGAUGCAGAGGAACGUAGGCACUUGCUUCCGCAAUCGCCAAGUAGUCGUGGUUCAGAGGCGCAAUCGGGCCGACCACCAUCCCAGACCUGACCAAGCGGUCCACAGGUCCAGGCUCCACCGCAAACCCAGGCGGCAGGAAGGGGACGGGGUUGAGAGGAUAGUUAGCCAUGGCGGAGGACGGAGUGGGUGGAGGCCUCAAUGGCGAGCGAGGCAGAGUGAUGGCAUUGGUGACAAGGGAGGUGGUCUGCAGACUGGGGCGAGGCAUUUGGUCAAUCGAGGUGGAAGGCGGAGCGUGAGUGGUAGAAUCGGUAAGUCGAGUUGAUUUAGGAAUCCACUUCUAUUUUUGCGCUUUCAGUCGUUGGAAACAUUGCCGCGCCAUGUGACCAUAGAAGCCGCACGAUUGACAUCUGAUGGUGCGUCUCUUACGCUGUUUGAUGGUAAGGGAGGCCAGAGCCGCGGGACUGGCGUUGGGGAUGAUUUGCUUCCCUUGGCUAGCGCCAACAUGGUCAAAAGUAUGCAUCAUUGAAGUAGAUUUGGGGCAAUUGAUUGCCUUGUGGUCAAGCGCGGAGCAUUUAAUACAUAUUAGGCGUGCAUGGCAACCAGUGUUUUUUGUGCCCCCAUUGCAGACACUUAGAGCAAAGCGAGGCCCAGUGAGUGUUUAGUUCCGUAGUUUCCUCCAAGGAGUAGUGGGCUUGGGCCAGAUCGGCCUUGUGCUGGUUGCUAAGCGUUGGAGGCCAAAACUCAUGCGGUGGCACAUAUUUGAAUGUAGAGGAAAGAAAACACUGGGGCAACGGUGGGUAUUGGGCGUGAAGUGAGCAUUUAAAGCUGCCCAGGACAAUAAAAUCCACGGAAUGAUUGCCCAUAAAUUGCUCUUGUCUGAGAAAAUGCUGCAUUAAUUGAAUAUUUGAACCCAAAGCCUGUGAUGUAGUUGGCUUUUACGAUGUUGAAUCAUGGGAGUAUCAAAAUUCAAAUGAUGAAGCAUUGAACAAGAAGAUGAGGCUUCGUUAGAAUUCUUGUUUGAAAAAUCCAUCUUGCCAAUUGGAGCAAUAUUGCCAAGGACCUGAGCAGACCGGGAUCCUCAUGCAACGACCGGUGUGUUCGAUUGAAGGUUGGUCUUGACCGCAACGGGAGACCGAGAAGAGAUGUCCAAUAUUUCUUGAUCUGCAUGUCAGGAGGAGGCAGAGGCAGGAGCUCUAGCAUAUCGGCCGUUAAAGAGAUGGAAAUGAUAAACAAAGUCUGGCCAAACUCGAUCUUUCAAACCAUAGAUGAAAUGUCCAACUUUGUAACUUGCAACAGAAAAUCGGAAUGAACAAUCCAUGAUCUUAGCAAACCAGAACUUAAACCCCCAAGACAACAUUGCAAAGCAAUACCAACAGAUUCCACCGCGAGAGGAAAGGAUGCUGAAGAGAACGUGACCACCAGAAAGAAUUCCUUGGAGCCUUGGGAAGGGGAAAAUUGGACCGUCGUGCCAAACCUGUGCCUCACCUGAUCUGCAAGGGCAAGGCCCGGAGCAAAGUCCCAAUGAAGAAGACCAUCCAUGAUUCCUAGGAUUAGAGGUCACCAUUGUUGGUGGAGGUGAGGUGGAAGGGUGGGAGGUGGGAUGGAGAGGAGAGGUGGAGGAGAGUCAUCUUACGUUACGGGACCACGGGCAACUCGUGUUGGCCGGAUUUCAUUUUCUGUGCCGGUCAGACCAAGCACAUCCCCUGAGUGACGAAAUUUUGUUUUUUUAUUCAAGUAUCCUUUUAUGCUAUCUAGAAAUUCUAUAUCAUUUCCAAUCAACAAUCUGUCAUGCACAUAUAAUAUCAGAAAUGCUACAUGUCUCCCACUCACUUUCUUGUAAAUACAUGCUUCACCAUAAGUCUAUAUAAAACCAUAUGAUUUGAUCACCUCAUCAAAGCGUAUAUUCCAACUCCGAGAUGCUUGCACCAGUCCAUAGAUGGAUCGCUGGAGCUUGCACACAUUCUUAGCACUUUUAGGAUCGACAAAAACCUUCUGGUUGCAUCAUAUACAACUCUUCUUUUAAGAAAUAUAUUAAGUAAUUCAGUUUUUGACAUCCAUUUGCCAUAUUUCAUAAAAUGCGGGAAUUGCUAACAUGAUUCGGACAGACUUAAGCAUCGCUACGAGUGAGAAAAUCUCAUCGUAGUCAACACCUUGAACUUGUCGGAAACCUUUUGCGACAAGUCGAGCUUUGUAGAUAGUAACACUACCACCAGUGUAUGUCUUCCUCUUGAAGAUCCAUUUAUUCUCAAUGGCUUGCCGAUCAUCGGGCAAGUCAACCAAAGUCCAUACUUUGUUCUCAUACAUGGAUCCUAUCUCAGAUAUCAUGGCCUCAAGCCAUUUUGCGGAAUCUGGGCUCAUCAUCGCUUCCUCAUAGUUCGUAGGUUCGUCAUGGUCUAGUAACAUGACUUCUAGAACAGGAUUACCAUACCACUCUAGUGCGGAAUGUACUCUGGUUGACCUAUGAGGUUCGGUAGUAACUUGAUAUGAAGUUUCAUGAUCCUUAUCAUAAGCUUCCUCUCUAGUUGGUGUAGGAAUCACGGGAACGGAUUUCUCUAAUGUGCUACUUUCCAAAUUGAGAGAAGGUACAAUUACCUCAUCAAGUUCUACUUUCCUCCCACUCACUUCUUUCGAGAGAAACUCCUUCUUUAGAAAGGAACCAUUCUUAGCAACAAAGAUCUUGCCUUUGGAUUUGUGAUAGAAGGUGUACCCAAUAGUUUCUUUUGGGUAUCCUAUGAAGACGCACUUCUCCGAUUUGGGUUCACGCUUAUCAGGCUGAAGCUUUUUCACACAAACCUCUCAACCCCAAACUUUAAGAAACGACAGUUUAGGUUUCUUGCCAAACCACAGUUCAUACGGUGUCGUCUCAACGGAUUUAGUUGGUGCCCUAUUUAACGUGAAUGCAACUGUCUCUAAUGCAUAAUGCCAAAACGAUAGUGGUAAAUCGGUAAGAGACAUCAUAGACCGCACCAUAUCUAAAAAAGUACAGUUACGAUGUUCGGACACACCAUUACAUUGUGGUGUUCCAGGUGGCAUGAGUUGUGAAACUAUUCCACAUUCUUUUAAUUGAAGGCCAAACUUGUAACUCAAAUAUUUGCCUCCGCGAUCAGAUCGUGGAAACUUUAUUUUCUUGUUAAGAUGAUUCUCUACUUCACUCUAAAAUUCUUUGAACUUUUCAAAUGUUUCAGACUUGUGUUUCAUCAAGUAGAUAUACCCAUAUCUGCUCAAAUCAUAUGUGAAGGUCAGAAAAUAACGAUACCCGCUGCGAGCCUCAACACUCAUCGGACCGCAUACAUCGGUAUGUAUUAUUUCCAAUAAGUCAGUGGCUCGCUCCAUUGUUCUGGAGAACGGAGUCUUAGUCAUCUUGCCCAUGAGGCAUGGUUCGCAAGUAUCAAAUGAUUCAUAAUCAAGUGAUUCCAAAAUCCCAUCUGGAUGGAGUUUCUUCAUGCACUUUACACUAGGUUGACCUAAACGGCAGUGCCACAAAUAUGUUGCACUAUCAUUAUCAACUUUGCAUCUUUUGGCAUAAAUAUUAUGAAUAUGUGUAUUACUACGAUCGAGAUUCAAUAAACCAUUCACCUCGAGUGUAUGACCAUAGAAGGUUUUAUUCAUGUAAAUAGAACAACAAUUAUUCUCUGACGUAAAUGAAUAACCGUAUUGCAAUAAACAUGAUCUCAUCAUAUUCAUGCUCAACGCAAACACCAAAUAACAUUUAUUUGAGGUUCAACACAAAUCCAGAAGGUAGAGGGAGUGUGCGAUGGUGAUCGUAUCAACCUUGGAAUCACUUCCAACACACAUCGUCACUUUGCUCUUAACUAGUCUCUAUUCACUCUGCAACUCCUGUUUUAAGUUACUAAUCUUAGCAACUUAACCGGUAUAAAAUACCCAGGGGCUACUAUGAACACUAGUAAAGUACACAUUAAUAACCGGUAUAUCAAAUAUACCUUUGUUCACUUUGCCAUCCUUCUUAUCCGCCAAGUAUUUGGUGUAGUUCCGCUUCCAGUGACCAUUCCCUUUGGAGUAGAAGCACUCGGUUUCAGGCUUAGGUCUAGCUUUGGGCUUCUUCACGGGAGUGGAAACUUGCUUGCCAUUCUUUCUGAAGUUCCCUUCUUUCCCUUGCCUUUUUUCUUGAAACUAGUUGUCUUGUUAACCAUCAACCCUUGAUGCUAUUUCUUGAUUUCUACCUUCGCGGAUUUUAGCAUCGCGAAGAGCUUGGCAAUCGUUUUCAUCAUCCCUUGUAUAUUAUAGUUCAUAACGAAUUUCUAGUAACUUGGUGAUAGUGACUAGAGAACUCUGUCAAUCACUAUCUUAUCUGGAAGAUUAACUCCCACUUGAUUCAAGAGAUUGUAGUACCCAGAUAUUUCGAGCACAUGCUCACUAGCUGAGCUAUUCUCCUCCAUCUUGUAGGCAGGUAUUAUACCUCUUAACACGGGCAUGAGUCUUAAAUAUCAUUUUUCAGCUCUUGAAACAUCUCAUGUGCUCCAUGGCGUUAAAAACAUUUUUGAAGUCCAGGUUCUAAGCCAUAAAGCAUGGUGCACUAAACUAUCAAGUAGUCAUCAUACCGAGCUUGUCAAACGUUCAUAACGUCUGCAUCUGCUCUUGCAAUAGGUCUAUCACCUAACGGUGCAUCAAGGACAUAAUUCUUCUAUGCAACAAUGAGGAUAACCCUCAGAUCAGGGACCCAGUCCGCAUCAUUGCUACUAUCAUCUUUCAACAUAAUUUUUCUCUAGGAACAUAUCAAAAAUAAAACUAGGGAGCUAUACAUGAGCUAUUGAUCUACAACAUAGAUACGCAAAUACUAUCAGGACUAAGUUAAUGAUAAAUUAAGUUCUAUUAAUCAAAUUACUUAAGAACUCCCACUUAGAUAGACAUCCCUCAAGUCAUCUAAAUGAUACGUGAUCCAAAUCAACUAAACCAUGUCUGAUUAUCACAUAAGAUGGAGUAGUUUUCCAAGGUGAACAUCUCUAUGUUGACCAUAUCUACUAUAUGAUUCACGUUUGACCUUUCGGUCUCAGUGUUCCGAGACCAUGUCUGUACAUGCUAGGCUCGUCAAGUUUAACUCGAGUAUUCUGCAUGUGCAAAACUGUCUUGCACCUGUUGCAUGUGAACGUAGAGCUUAUCACACCCAAUCAUCAUGUGUUGUCUCGGCACGACGAACUGUCACAACGGUGCAUACUCAGGGAGAACACUUAUACCUUGAAAUUUUAGUGAGGGAUCAUCUUAUAAUGCUACCGCCGUAUGUAGGAUCGAAAGUAUGUCUAGAGGGGGGUGAUUAGACUACUUGACCAGAUAAAAAUCUAUCCUUUUCCCAAUUUUAAGUCCUGGCAGAUUUUAACAACUUAGCACAAGUCAAGUAAUCAACCUACACAUGCAAUUCUAAGAGUAUAGCAGUGGAAUGUAAAAGAAUUGCAUAUGAAGGUAAAGGGGGAGUUUGGAGGGAGCAAACGCAAUGUAGACACGGAGAUUUUUGGCGUGGUUCCAAUAGGUGGUGCUAUCGUACAUCCACGUUGAUGGAGACUUGAACCCACGAAGGGUAACAGUUGUGCGCGUUCACGGAGGGCUCCACCCACGAAGGGUCCAUGAAGAAGCAACCUUGUCUAUCCCACCAUGGCCAUCACCCAUGAAGGACUUGCCUCACUAUGGUAGAUCUUCACGAAGUAGGCAAUCUCCUUGCCCUUACAAACUCCUUGGUUCAACUCCACAAUCUUGACGGAGGCACCCAAGUGACACCUAACCAAUCUAGGAGACACCACUCUCCAAAAGGUAAUAGAUGGUGUGUUGAUGGUGAACUCCUUGCUCUUGUGCUUCAAAUGAUAGUCUCGCCAACACUCAACUCUCUCUCAUAGGAUUGUAUUUGGUGGAAAGAGGGUUUGAGUGGAAAGUGACUUGGGAAGGCUAGAGAUCAAGAUUUAUGUGGUUGGAAUGGAAUAUCUUGACCUCAACACAAGUGUAGGUGGUUCUCUCUCAUAAAAUGUAUGUUGGAAGUGUAGGCAUGUUCUGAUGGCUCUCUCCUUGAAUGAAGAGUGGGUGGAGGGGUAUAUAUAGCCUCCACACAAAAUCUAACCGUUACACACAAAUCACCAAACUCGGUGGGACCGAAUAAUGAAACUCGGUCAGACCGAUUCAGUUCAAAAUGUGAACGUUAGGAUUUUCGGUGGGACCGACAUGUCAACUCGGUGGGACCGAUUCCAUUAGGGUUAGGGCAUAACGUAAUCUCGGUGAGACCGAUUACACAAACUCGGUUGGGACCGAUUUUGGUAAUAGGCAAACAGAGAGUUGGUGAGGCAAACUCGAUGGGACCGAUUCGCUCAUCUCGGUUAGACCGAAACGUUACGAAGGGGAAACAAAGAGUUUGCAUUGCAAGCUCGGUGGGACCGAUCACUCAUCUUGGUUGGAGCGAAACGUUACGAAGGGAAACAGAGAGUUUGCAAUCCCAUCUCGGUGAGACCGAAAUGACUAGGGUUUGUGGCUGUGGCUAUGUCAAAUGAACUUGGUGGCGUCGGGUAGGAAAUUUCGGUGGGGCCAAGUUUGACUUUUGGUUUGGGACAUAUGUGGAUGUGAGAAAAUAGUUGAGGGUUUUGGAGCAUAUCACUAAGCAUUUUGAGCAAGUAACUCAUUAAGCAACACAUCAUCCCCUUUUAAUAGUAUUGGCUUUUCCUAUGGACUCAAUGCGAUCUUGGAUCACUAAAAGUAAAAUGUAGAGUCUUGAGCUUGAGCCAACAUGUGUUCUUAGUAUUUUGAGGGGUCCACUUUCUGAUCCAUGCCAUGCCAAACAUUGAGCUUUCCUGAAAUAUUUAUCUUGAGAUAGCAUUAUCUCGAUGGGCUAUAUGUUGUUAGGAAUUACCAAAACCACCUAGGGAUAGUUGCACUUUCACUUUACUAAGCAAAAUAAGAUGCAUAAAAGAUAAACAUCACAUGCAAUCAAAAUAUAUGACAUGAUAUGGCCAUCAUCAUCUUGUGCCUUUGAUCUCCAUCUCCAAAGCACCAUCAUGAUUUCCAUCAUCACUGGCUUGACACCUUGAUCUCCAUCGUAGUGUCGUUGUCGUCUCGCCAACUAUUGCUUCUACAACUAUCGCUAACGCAUAGUGAUAAAGUAAAGCAAUUACAUGGCAAUUGCAUUUCAUACAAUAAGGCGACAACCAUAAGGCUCCUGCCAGUUGCCGUUAACUUUUACAAAACAUGAUCAUCUCAUACAACAACGUAUAUCAUAUCAUGUCUUGACCAUAUCACAUCACAACAUGCCCUGCAAAAACAAGCUAGACGUCCUCUACUUUGUUGUUGCAAGUUUUAAGUGCCUGCUACGGGCUUCUAGUAAGAACCGUUCUUACCUAUGCAUCAAAACCACAACGGUGAUUUAUCAAGUUUGUUGUUUUAACCUUUAACAAGGACCGGUCGCAGUCAAAUUCGAUUCAACUAAAGUUGGAGAAACAGACACCCGCCAGCCAUCUUUAUGCAAAACAAGUUGCAUGUCUGUCGGUGGAACUGGUCUAAUGAACGUGGUCAUGUAAGGUUGGUCCGGGCCGCUCAUCCAACAAUACCACCGAAUCAAAAUAAGACGUUGGUGGUAAGCAGUAUUAUUAUCAUCGCCCACAACUCUUUGUGUUCUACUCGUGCAUAUCAUCUACGCAUAGACCUGGCUCGGAUGCCACUGUUGGGGAACAUAGCAUGCAAUUUCAAAAAAAAUCAUAUGAUCACGCAAGAUCUAUCGAGGAGAUGCAUAGCAACGGGAGGGGGAGAGUGUGUCCAUGUACCCUCAUAGACCAAAAUAGGAAGCGUUUGGCAAUGUGGUAGAUGUAGUCGAACUUCUUCUCAUUCCGACCGAUCAAGCACCGAACGUACGGCACCUCCGAGUUCUGCACACGUUCAGCUCGAUGAUGUACCUUGAACUCUUGAUCCAGAAAAGUAUUGAGGGAGAGUUUUGUCAGCACGACGGUGUGCUGACGGUGAUGGUGAAGUGAUCCGCGCAGGGUUUCUCCUAAGCACUACGACAAUAUGACCGGAGGCGUAAACUCUGGAGGGGGCACCACACACAGCUAGGAAUCAAUGUUGUGUGUUCUAGCGGUGCCCCUCCCCACAUAUAUAUAUAGGUGGGAGAGGGAGAGGGGCUGCAAGGGGCGCCCCAAGUAGGAGUAAUCCUACUUGGGCGCCUCCUCCAAGUCGGCCUUCCCCCUUCCAUAUCCAUCGGAGGGGGGAGGAUAGAGAGGGAGGAGGGGGAGGCCGAAUCCUCCCCUUUCCUUGUCCCUUCCCUGCCUUUCCUUCUCCUCCUAUUCAGCCUAUAGGGGGUGCACCAGCCCCUUUUGGGGCUGGUCUGUCCAAUGCUUGGCCCAUUAGGCCCAUCUAGCUUGUCGGGGGUUGCCCGGAACCCCUUCCGGUGACCCGAUACAUACCCGGUACCCCCAGAAUACUUCCGGUGUCUAAAUACUAUCGUUCUAUAUAUGAAUCUUUACCUAUCGACCAUUUCGACACUCCUCGUCAUGUCCAUGAUCUCAUCUGGGACUCCGAACAACAUUCGCUCACCAAAUCACAUAAGUCAUAUAAUACAAAUCGUCAUCGAACAUUAAGCGUGCGGACCCUACAGGUUCUAGAACUAUGUAGACAUGACUGAGACACCUCUCCAGUCAAUAACCAAUAGCGGAACCUGGAUGGUCAUAUUGGCUCCCACAUAUUCUACGAAGAUCUUUAUCGGUCAAACCGUUAUGACAUAAUACGUUAUUCCCUUUGUCAUCGGUAUGUUACUUGCCCGAGAUUCAUCGUCGGUAUCUUCAUACCUAGUUCAAUCUCGUUCCGACAAGUCUAUUUACUCGUUCCAUAAUGCAUCAUCCCGUAACUAACUCAUUAGUCACAUUGCUUGCAAGGCUUAUUAUGGUGUACAUUACCGAGAGGCCCAGAGAUACCUCUCCGAUGCUCGGAGUGACAAAUCCUAAUCUCGAUACCUGUAGAGCAUCCUUAUAAUCACCCAGUUACGUUGUGACGUUUGAUAGCUGAUACGUCUCCAACGUAUCUAUCAUUUUUGAUUGCUCCAUGCUAUAUUAUUGACUGUUUUGGACAUUGAGGGAGUCCUGGAUUAGGGGGUGUUCGGGUAGCCGGACUAUAUCUUCAGCCGGACUCCUGGACUAUGAAGAUACAAGAUUGAAGACUUUGUCCCGUGUCCGGAUGGGACUUUCCUUGGCGUGGAAGGCAAGCUUGGCGAUGCGGAUAUUCAAGAUCUCCUACCAUUGUAACCGACUUUAUGUAACCCUAACCCUAUCCGGUGUCUAUAUAAACCGGAGGGUUGUAGUCCGUAGGCAAUCAACUCCAUAUACAACAAUCAUACCAUAGGCUAGCUUCUAGGGUUUAGCCUCCUUGAUCUCGUGGUAGAUCUACUCUUGUACUACCCAUAUCAUCAAUAUUAAUCAAGCAGGACGUAGGGUUUUACCUCCAUCAAGAGGGCCCGAACCUGGGUAAAACAUCCCGUUCCCUGCCUCCUGUUACCAUCCGGCCUAGACACAUAGUUCGGGACCCCCUACCUGAGAUCCGCCGGUUUUGACACCGACAUUGGUGCUUUCAUUGAGAGUUCCUCUGUGUCGUCGCCUUUAGGCCCGAUGGCUCCUUUGAUCAUCAACAACGAUGCGGUCCAGGGUGAGACUUUUCUCCCCGGACAGAUCUUCGUCUUCGGCGGCUUCGCUCUGCGGGCCAAUUCGCUCGGCCACCUGGAGCUGAUUGAAAGCUACGCCCCUGGCCAUCAAGUCAGGUUUGGAAGCUUAAACUACACGGCUGACAUCCAUGGAGACUUGAUCAUCGACGGAUUCGGGCCACGGCCAAGCGCGCCGCACUAUGUCGAGGGACAUGAUCUAGAUCUGUCCCCGGACAGUGUCCUGGAGGCCGCACACGCAUCGGUUCCGACCCCUAACUCGGAGCCUAUUGCGCCAAUCGAGGAUGAGCGGUUGGACGUCACCUCGGGAGCUGCAAUCUCGAAAGCGAUCGAGCCGAACGCUAGCCCCGCACUCUGCACGACCUGUGACUUCGAGGAUCCGGACUCCUUCCCGGACUCCGAACCCCCCGCGCCCCUGCCAAUCGAAUCCGAUUGGGCGCCGAUAAUGGAGUUCACCGCCGCAGACAUCUUUCAGCAUUCGCCUUUUGGCGACAUCCUGAAUUCUCUUAAGUCUCUCUCUUUAUCAGGAGAGCCCUGGCCGGAUUACAGUCAGCGAGGGUGGGAUACGGACGAUGAGGAAAUUCAAAGCCCACCCAUGACCCACUUUGUAGCCACUGUCGAUGAUCUAACCGACAUGCUUGACUUCGGCUCCAAAGACAUCGAUGGCAUGGACGAUGAUGUAGGAGACGAACAGGAACUAGCACCUAUAGGGCACUGGAAGGCCACCUCGUCAUAUGACAUAUAUAUGGUAGAUACUCCAAAAGAUGGAGAUGGCGAUGGAACAGUGGGGGAUGACGCCCCAAGAAAUAGCCAAAGCGCCGGCGUCAGCGGCGCCGCUCUAAAUCCCGCCAAAGCAAAAACGGUGAUUCCGGCACGGGAGACAAUACUACCCCGGAUAGCGCCGAAGAACACUCACCUCAGCAAGAUUUGGCACAGGAAGAUGGAGAAGCCAGCCCUCAUGAGAGAGCGGCAGACCAAGAGGUCGAGGAUGAUAACUAUACGUCUCCCUCCGAAGACGAGGCAAUCCUCGAUGACGACGAAUUUGUCAUACCAUCAGACCCCGCCGAACGAGAGCGUUUUAAACGCAGGCUUUUAGCCACGGCAAACAGCCUCAAGAAAAAGCAGCAAUAGCUUAGAGCUGCCCAAGAUUUGCUAGCUGACAGAUGGACUGAAGUCCUUGCGGCCGAAGAGUAUGAACUCGAACGCCCCUCCAAGAGUUACCCGAAGCGCAGGCCGCUACCCCGAUCAGAGGAGGAAGCACCUACAUCACCAGUGCAUGACAUGGCAGACCGGCCACCUCGCGGCUAUGACAGAGAGGCCUCUCGGCCCUCCACCCAAGCCAUGCCCCGCCGCCGCUCAACUAAGGCACGGGAAAAUGCGCCCGACCUGCGAGACAUAUUGGAGGAUAAGGCAAGACAAACAAGAUCGAUCUACGGAUCACGCAGGCGCCCUAUGACAUGUGAUAAUGAUCUUCACUCCGGAUAGAACAAAUCCGGUCGGGCCGAACACAACAGACAUAGCUCUUCCAAGCUGCGUCGUGAUAUAGCCCAGUACAGAGGCGCCGCACACCCGCUAUGCUUCACAAAUGAAGUAAUGGAUCAUAAAAUCCCAAAGGGUUUCAAACCCGUAAACAUCGAAUCAUACGAUGGCACAACAGAUCCAGCGGUAUGGCUCGAGGAUUAUCUCCUUCACAUCCACAUGGCACGCGGCGAUGACCUACAUGCCAUCAAAUACCUCCCGCUCAAACUUAAAGGACCGGCCUGGCAUUGGCUUAACAGCUUGCCAGCAGACUCAGUCGGUUCUUGGGAGGACAUGGAAGCCGCAUUCCUCGACAACUUCCAGGGCACUUACGUGCGACCACCGGAUGCCGACGACUUAAGCCACAUAAUUCAGCAGUCAGAGGAAUCGGCCAGACAAUUCUCGACACGGUUUCUAAUAAAGAAAAACCAGAUAGUCGACUGUCCGGACGCAGAGGCCCUAGCAGCCUUCAAGCAUAACAUCUGCGACGAGUGGCUUGCCCGGCACCUGGACAUGAAAAGCCGAAAUCCAUGGUAGCCCUCACGACACUCAUGACCCGCUUUUGCGCGGGAGAAGACAGCUGGCUAGCUCGCAGUAACAACUUAUCAAAGAACCCUGGUAAUUUGGAUACCAAGGACAAAAGUGGCAGGACACGUCGGAAUAAGCAAAAAUGCCAUGUUAGCAGCGACAGCAAUGAAGACACGGCAGUCAAUGCCGGAUUCAAAGGCUAUAAAUCCGGUCAGCGGAAAAAGCCAUUCAAAAAGAAUACUCAGGGCCCGUCCAGUCUGGACCGAAUACUCGAUCGCUUGUGCCAGAUACAUGGCACCCCCGAAAGGCCAGCCAAUCACACUAACAGGGAUUGUUGGGUGUUCAAGCAGGCAGGCAAGUUAAGGGCCGAAAACAGAGACAAGGGGUUGCACAGCGACGACGAGGAGCCCAAGCCGCCGAACAACAAUGGACAGAAGGGCUUUCCCCCACAAGUGCGGAUGGUGAACAUGAUAUACGCAACCCACAUUCCCAAGCGGGAGCGGAAGCGUGCGCUACGGGACGUAUACGCGAUAGAGCCAGUCGCCCCAAAGUUCAACCCAUGGUCCUCCUGCCCGAUCACUUUUCAUCGAAGGGACCAUCCCACUAGCAUCCGUCAUGGCGGCUUUGCCGUAUUGGUUCUCGACCCAAUCAUCGACGGAUUUCAUCUCACACGAGUCCUCAUGGACGGCGGCAGUAGCCUGAACCUGCUUUAUCAGGAUACAGUGCGGAAAAUGGGCAUAGAUCCCUCAAGGAUUAAGCCCACAAGAACGACCUUUAAAGGCGUUAUACCGGGUGUAGAAGCCAACUGUACAGGCUCAGUAACACUUGAUGUGAUCUUCGGAUCCCCAGACAAUUUCCGAAGCGAAGAGUUAAUCUUCGACAUAGUCCCGUUUCGCAGUGGCUAUCAUGCCCUGCUCGGAUGAACCGCAUUCGCAAAGUUCAAUGCGGUGCCGCACUACGCAUAUCUCAAGCUCGAGAUGCCAGGCCCUCGAGGAGUAAUUACGGUCAAUGGAAACACCGAACGCUCCCUCCGUACGGAGGAGCAUACGGCGGCUCUCGCAGCGGAGGUACAAAGUAGCCUUCUCAGGCAAUUCUCCAGUCCGGCCAUCAAAAAGCCAGACACUGCCGAGCUCGCCCAGAGUAACCCACAACAGGACCGUCUGGCACACUCUCAGCAAGCGUAGCAAUGUGGCCCCAACCCCAGCUUUCGCAACAUAGCGAAACCAGUACCUCGCGUACAUAACUACGCCCUUGAAAUACCAUGGGCACAGGGGAAGGGGCACAAUAACGGCACACCCAAAAUACGGCUUAAAACGUACUAGGGGCUGCCGGAUUCUUUUUUAGAUUUUCUUACUUUCAGGACUCCAUACUUCGGAUGACCUGUUCGGCAAUUCGACUGCCGCACAAACGAUGCAAGAUCCAGGGAGGCAGACAAGCCAUGCCACAUUAUGGAACUCCCAGGUGGUCUCUGUUACGAGCGGUAUACCUGUUUUCAAUACAAUUCCGUGGCCUGCCCCUGGUCAGGACAUACUGAAUAGUCCAAUAUCUUUUGCUUACCGCACUAUUUGUAUCGUUCGGCUUUGAUAAAUAGCCUCUCUAUAAACAAUGCUUAACUUCUUAUCUAUGUUUUGCAUUAUCUUCUUUUCACAUUUAUGUUUAUUAAAUGACAUGAUUGCACCCGUACACCAUGGUACGGCAAACACGCCAGGGGCUUCAGUACCCCUCAUAACAGUGUGAGCAGUCCGUACACUUUCACAAGUGCGGCACCCCGAACUUAUAGCACUAUAUGCAUCGGCUCCGAAUCAUGAUUUGGGUCAAUAGUUGGGUUUGCCCGGCUCCUAUGUUUUGGUGCCUUAUGUUCCGCUCUAUCGGCUAAGGUAGCACUAGGAGAACCACUGCAAUUGUGCCCCGGUUCAGCUGGGUUAAGCACCUCAGUGGAGAAAGCUAAAACUGACUGUCAUGAUGUGGCGAGAGACCGGUCGCUGUUCGAGACGUUUUUCGACUCCCUAAAGGCUUAUGCCGCUUCGAGCGAGGAGCUGGCUUUGUCCGGCCAAGGCAUGGAUAGCGCCCCGAACUCGGUCUUCCGAACUAGGGGCUUCACCAAAAUUUAAAAUUAUAGAGUUCUAUGGCUAAGUGAGAGUGUUCAACCAUUAUAGUCCCAUUGCCUGGUUCGUUGUGCUGACCGCCUCCCUCGACAGACCCAAUCAUGGGAAAAAGAGCGCUUAGGUUUAUCCCGAACACCCCAGCACUAGUGUCAUGGGGGCAGAACCCGACGACUGGCCAUCUCUCAAUUUUUUGAUAAACGGCCGCACAGAAAGUAAUAUUUUAAAUUCAAGCAUUGCUUAGCGCAUAUGAACAAGUUUUCAACGCACAGGAUAACACGAGCGAGUUCAUUCAAAAAUUACAUCCUUGGUACAUUCAUCCGCCACAAGGCGGGCACCAGCAAGAACAUCCUUGUAAUAUUUCUCGGGCUUGCGAUGCUCCUUCCCCGGCGGCGGCCCGUCCUUCACAAGCUUCUCACCGUCCAGCUUACCCCAAUGCACCUUUGCACGGGCAAGAGCCCUACGGGCACCUUCGAUGCAGACGGAGCGCUUGAUGACCUCGAGCCUUGGACAAGCCUCCACCAGCCGCCGCACCAGUCCGAAGUAGCUCCCAGGCAGGGCCUCUCUAGGCCACAGCCAAACUAUGAAACCCUUCAAUGCCUGUUCGGCCGCCUUGUGGAGCUCGACCAGCUGCUUCAGCUGGUCACUCAAGGGCACAGGGUGUCCGGCCUCAGCGUAAUGAGACCAGAACACCUUCUCCGUCGAGCUGCCUUCCUUGGCUCGGUAGAAUGCGGCGGCAUCGGAUACGCUGCGGGGAAGAUCUGCGAAUGCCCCUGGAGAUCUCCGGAUUCGGGUAAGUAACAAGUAGUUUACUUUUAUAUGUCUGCUUUGCAUAUAGAAUGCCUUACCCGCUGCUAUCUUCCUCAUCUCCUCCAACUCUUGGAGGGCCUUUUGGGCUUCGGCCUUGGCAGACUUGGCAGCCUCUAGGGCCGUUGCAAGCUCGGAUGCUUGCGCCUUCGACUCCAGCUCCAAAUUCUCAUGUUUUUCCAUGAGAGCCUGCAGUUCUUGCUCCACCUCGCCGACCUGAACCCCAAGUCUGUCUCGCUCGGUGCGCUCCGCGGCCAUUUUCUUUUCGGCCUUAGACAGCGCCUGCUUAAGGGUCGCCACCUCAGUCAUGGCCCCUACAAUAAGCAGUACAAUCCUGUUACUCUUUUUUGCAAUCAAGCCUUUUUAUAGGCACUUUUUCUGUAAGGUAUUUCUUACCUUCUUCCUCCUCGAGCCACCGCUUGGCAAGGCCGAGCUCUCGCUCGGUCCGCUCGAGGUCCUACUUAAGGACACCCACCUCCGCAGUCAGUGCGGCGGUGGAUAGCAGCGAAGCCUGCAUACGCAUAUUGACUCUUUUUUUAGACUCCUGCGAAAUUUAAUAGAUCCUCUAUUCGGCUUUUCUUUUCGAACGCCAAACAGAGCAUCAGGUGCUACUGUCUAUGUGGUAAUAUUUUUACAUAUUUUUACUUACCCCGAAGCCUGUUAGAAGGCUAGCGCAAGCUUCAGUCAGUCCGCUCUUGGCGGACUGAACCUUCUGGAUCACCAUACUCAUAAUAGUACGUUGCCCCUUGUCGAUGGAGGCGUCGUCAAGCACCUCCAGCAGAUUGUCCGGCACCUCCGGUUGGACGGAGGCCGCCGGCUCAGAAGGCUUGCUCCUCUUAGAAGGAGUUCGCCUACCACGGUACCGAACUGUGGAAGAUUCCGGCGCGGUGUCAGGCACAAAGCCGGACUGAUAGCCCUGGGGAGCCUUAUCCCCUUCACUCCUGAAGUCUGGGAGGUUGCCUUGCGGCUCCUCUGGGACCACCUCCUCCUGCCCCGGAGCUUGUCGCGAUGGCACUUCCAUGUCGUCUGCAGUGCGGGGGAAGACAACGGGCGAAACUGAGUUCACGUCCGAUGAGUCCAGGGAGCCGCCCGACGAUUCGUCGAAUUCGGCACGGGGCGGACUGCAUAAUUACAUUUGACAUUAGGGAAAGCUGUGCAACAAAGGAACAUCAUGAGUUACUCUGAUAUCCGAACUUACGAUUUCGCCGGACGCUUGGCCCUGUUUGGCCACUCCUCUUUGCCCUCUUCGGUGUUGGGGGCGUAGUCCGGCGGAGGGGUCUUCCUUUUCCUAGACCCCUCGGCCUCCCCCGUUGGGGCGGCCUUCCUCUUCUCUCCUCCCUCCUCUAGGGGGGAGAGUCUACUUCUUCCUCCUCCUCGUUUUCGUGGGAGGAUGGCAUCUCGGACUCGUCAGAUGACGAGUCCGACACCACCACGUUGCGGGCACUCUUUCGAGUCCCCGUGGUCUUCACCUUCUUGGCCUUCUUCUCCGGCACCACAUAAGGCGCCGGAACCAGCUGUCGUGGUUCUAACUCUGAUAGUGAUGUAGGGGGUAUGUAUGGAGAGGCUAGAUCUCAGCUAUGGAGAAGUUGCAAGCACACCAGGAUGUACGAGUUCAGGCCCUUCGCGGAGGAAGUAACAGCCCUACGUCUCGGUGCCCGGAGGCGGUCGAUUGGAUUAUAGGUGUGUGAAUAACAGGGGUGCAAACCCUUGAUACUGAGGAGGGGGUGGCUUAUAUAGAGUUCGCCAGACCUCUCCCGCCCUCAGUAAUGCAGGGUUAAAAUACAUUAAGACUGGGCGUUACUGGUAACGUCCUUAAUAAAGUGCUAUGAUGACCAUAAAGACUACUUAAUGGCCGACCGUUUUCCUGCGGAGUGACUUUAGAUCUCCUGGCAGUCGAGUGGUUGGCUUCGUGGCCGAGUGAUAGCUUCCUGGUUGAGUGUCUUGAAUUCGUCGAGUGGGAUACCUUCAAGUCGAUUGAAAGGUGACUUCUUCUAGGGGUGUCCUUGGGUAGGGCUCUUAGGACAAGUCCAUGCCCCUACCCUAGGUACAUAGCUUCAUCAUUAGCCCCCGAAUGGAUUGAGGUUCGAGUGGGGAAGGAGUUGGGGAUCCUUCUGACUGGUUCUUAGUGUUAUAUGAAUGUCUUGUACUGGAUCAAUUGUCACGGAUGACGUUGUCAACUUCUUUCGGUCACCUUGAUCCAUUCUUGGUCUCUCGUCGAGUGAAUUUCCUUACUUGUGAAAUACCGAGUGCCAGCACGAGCGGGAUCUUCUGUUUGAUGAUAUGUUCUGCAGCCCGCGGAUUUUGCGGGAUUUGAAUUUCGGGAAGCGAGCGGGACGGGGGCGGACGCAGUAAUCGGAUGGGAUAGGACGGAAGCUCCUCGAUUCCUGCGCCACCUUUUUCGCCACGUACCGCGUGCGCGCCUGUUGCGGGAUUUUACGGGAUCGCCUGGGCCUACCGGUCAGCCACUCGGAAGCGGCCUCUUAUAAGCUGCCGGCUCGGGGCUCCCAAACAGUGUGCUCUCGCUUUUCCUUCUCCCUUCACAAGGUCCUCCGCCACCUCCGCUCUCACCCUAGCUCCGUAGGUCCGUUCGAGCCUCGCCGGCGAUGAUGGUGAAGGAUAAGACGUCGGCUUUGGAGCGGGUGAAGAAGGCGGCGGUGCAGGGGAAGGGGAAGAAGUCCGCUCGGGGCGGAUCUUCCUCGAGGACUGCUCUGCCCAAGGAUUGGAUCCAGGGCGACAGGAUGCCGUUGGUGAUUCGGCAGGAAGAUCUGAUGACAUGGUCGAGGGGGGAGUCAUUCCCCAUGAAGCUGCGCGUCUCCCGGGGAAAGAAGUCAAACCCCAACCUCUUGACGGUGAGUGCGUCCUCCUCGCCACCCAUAUCGAUCGAGGAUUUUCUCUACCUCCUCAUCCUUUUUUCCGGAGGUUUUUGAACUUCUUCGGAGCGCAGCUCCAUCACUUCACUCCCAAUUCCAUCGUGUAUCUUGCUGCUUUCGUUUCCUUGUGUGAAAGUUUCUUGGGUUGCCGCCCUCAUUGGGGACUCUUUAAACACAUCUUCACUUGCCAUUCCCAAUCAGUAAAGAAAGCCAAGUCGAGUGACGAACGGACGCAAGUGAUCCAGCUGUGCGGGGGCCUGGCGAUCCAGAUGAGGGGAAAAAGUUCUUUUCCGUCUAUCACUUUUCCCGAGUCGGUCCGUGGUUGGCAGUCAACCUGGUUUUAUUGCCAAGACCAGGUGAUUCUAGGACAGUUGACUGGGCUUCCCCCUUUCUCUCUGGACCGAGCUCAAAAACCUGCCUCUCUGAAAAUGCUGCCGGAGGAAAAGGCGCAAGUCAAGGUGCUGGUUGGUCGAGUGGUUCAACUUGUCCGAGAGGGCGUGACCGGCAUGGACUUGCUGGAGGUCUUCCUUCGGAGGCGCAUCCAACCGCUUCAGGCUCGUGACCACCCGAUGUGGAUGUACUCGGGUCUCGAAGACACCACUCGGAUUCACCCAGAGGAGGUCACUGACGAGAUGCUGGAAGGGUGGCUAUCGAGCAUCACAGGGAACAAAGACAACCCCUGAGGAGCCAGGAGGGUUCCUCCGCUUGACAACACAUACGAAGUGGACCAGGUCUGACCUUGUGUUCCCGACUGAGAUCUUGCUUUCUUCAUUUGCUCUCUUUGAAUCGGUCGACUGACUUUCGACUUGUCUGUUGUUCUCCAGGCAACUACAGAGAUGUACUCGACACCCAAUGGAGCACAAGAGCAGGCCGAGGAAGGGGAGGCGAGUGGAGGCAAAAGUGGAGACGAACAAGGAGAGUGGGAAUCUGACGGCAAAGGAGAGGGAGACGACGACGUCGACUCCAGCGAAGAGGAGGAGGAGGAGGAAGCUAAACCUCCCCACUUGGAAAGGCGAUCCAAGCUUACACACGACCCUGCGCGGGAACGUGGUAAGGCGACUGCUCCCAUUG
rnacentral:lncRNA from 1 species